UGAUUAUGUCAGUAGUAAGGGACCUAGUUAGAUCACUAAAGCUAUUGGUUUGAAUUAAGUUGUGGAGGUUGUGAUACAAUCUUUAACUUCAUUCUUCUACUAGAAGACAGAAUUUAUCAUUCCAGGUGAUGUGAUGGAGUUAAUUUUUCAACUUAGGACCUCACUUUGUGUAGAUCAAGACCUUCUAUUUCAAGUUGUACACUGCAGUUGAUCUACUUAUGUAAUUCAUGAAGCCUAUCAGGUGAUCAUCAAUUAUUCUGAAGAAUACCCCUUCUGAAGAAUAUGCCUAUUUCUCUAGUGUCACUAAUGUCACUCGAUUCAUUUGAUACGUCCACAAAUACAUGUCAAGUAGUUAUCUUAAUAAUUUGGUGAUCCAUUCCAAUGGGUCCUCCUUUUUAAGUUGGCUUUCAUUUUGUAUGCUAUUUUUUUUUUAUAAGCAAGCACAAUUCAUUAAAGAGGCUAAAAAACCCCAACGUAUGCAGGACGUAUACCAGGCAACAAAGCCAAAAACAAACAGAAACACCAGAAAACAAACCACCCCUCAACUGGAGGCAAUCCACUCCAGGAAAUCUAAAAGGGAAUGCGGCUCCUCUUCCAUAUACAAUUUAGCCCAACCCCAAAUAUUACAAACAAAAGAAUAUUUAAACCUCUGAAUUGCUAAGACCCCCUCCCCCCCUAAAGGGUAACCUAUUCCUUUCCUUCCAAACCGUCCAAAAAAUAAAUAACGGAAUGGAAUUCCAAAAUUUUUUCUUUUUUUUCCCCACAAAAGAACCCCCCCCCCCCCCCCAACUAUAUAAAACCUCCUUUACAGUAUUAGGGAACACCCACUUGACCCCAACUAAGCCCAACACUAAAUCCCAAAGCUCUCUAGCCACUGUACAAUGAAUAAGUAAGUGAUCCACGCUUUCCGCUUCGCAAGCACACAAAAAACACCUAUUCGGGAGCUGCCAACCUCUUCUUUGGAGCCUAUCAAGAGUCAAGAUCUUUCCCCAAGUCGCUUCCCACGUGAAAAACAUUAUUUUAGUUGGGACUCUUCCCACCCAAAUCUUGUUUUUCGGAAAGUUGACCUCCAUAGACCUAUCCAGCCAGCUGUACGCAUCUUUCACUCUAAACUGCCCACUUCCCCCUCCUUUCCAAAAAACAGAGUCAUCCUCCCAAGUUAUCCUAACUCCUCUCAACGCUUGGAGCAACUCACCUACCAACUCCACCUCCCAAUCAUUGAAAUCCCUUAUAAAACACAAAUUCCAGCCUCCUUCCCCAGCAUUCUGGUCCCACAGGUCUUCAACCUUUGCAUUUCUGUUGGCUGCCAAGAUAUAGAGAUGCGGGAACCUUUGGGACAGCGCUGAAUCCCCGCACCACACAUCAGUCCAGAAGCUGAUUUUAUUACCUUUCCCCACCUUGAACCCCAUUUUGUCCCAGCACCAGCCAGCUUCCUUUAAGAUCUCCUUCCACACCCCCACACCACACGCACCCACAGCCUUUUUGGUCCUCCAACCAUAAUCCUCCUGACCAUACUUAGCUUCCAGCACAUGCUUCCAAAGGGCCUCCUUAUCCGAAGCGAAUCUCCAAGUCCACUUGCCAAGAAGCGCUUUAUUCAUGAUAGUAAACUUCCUUAUUCCCAACCCCCCAUUCUCCUUAUCCCCACACACCACAUCCCACUUAACCAGAUGAGUUUUCCUCUCCAUGAGACCCCCCCCCCCCCAUAAGAAGUCUCUUUGCAAUUUUUCUAAUCUUCUAACCAUAGAAAUGGGCAUACGGAAUAACGACAUCUGGUAUACUGGCAUACUACCCAUAGUGCUUUUAAUUAGAGUGAUUCUCCCACCCUUUGAGAUAUAUUGGCUCUUCCAAAGAGCAAGCCUCCUUCUCAUUUUCUCUUCUACCCCAUCCCAUCCAUAUGCAGCCUUAUUAGGCACCCCCAGCGGCAGCCCCAAAUACGCAGACGGAAGCUGCCCCACCCUACAACCUAACUCCACAGCCAUCUCCUCUAUCCUUUGCACCUCCCCUACUGGAAUUACCUCGCUUUUAGUCAAGUUAAUUCUCAACCCGGACGCGGCUUCAAACCAGAACAAGAUCCAACUUAAAUUCGUUAAGUACUCCUUCUUUGCCUCGCAAAAGACAAUAGUGUCAUCGGCGAAGAGCAAAUGAGCAAUGUGGACAGCCCGUCCUCUGUCACGCUGAAUUUUGCACCCUGAGAUGAAACCCCCUUCCAUAGCCCUUCUGAUUAGGACGCUUAGCACCUCCAUCCCCAUGACAAAAAGGUAAGGGGACAGGGGAUCUCCUUGACGCAGCCCUUUAGAACUGGAAAAGAAUCCAGCUGGCGUUCCGUUACCAUAACUGAAAUUUAGCUGUGGAGAACCACACCACAUCUCCUCAGCCACUAGCGCCAANNNNNNNNNNNNNNNNNNNNNNNNNNNNNNNNNNNNNNNNNNNNNNNNNNNNNNNNNNNNNNNNNNNNNNNNNNNNNNNNNNNNNNNNNNNNNNNNNNNNACAUCCACCUCAGCCACUUAGCGCCAAAUCCCAUUUUUUUCAUUACUUUCAAGAGGAAUUGCCAAUUAAUGCUAUCAUAGGCCUUCUCUAUAUCUAACUUGCAGAUAACCCCCUUGUCCCCCUUCUUAUUCCAGUUGUCAAUCACUUCAUUUGCUAUUAGAGAAGCGUUAAGAAUCUGCCUACCCUUAACAAACGCGUUCUGAUAAUGGGAAACUACCUUAUCUAUAACUUUCUUAAGCCUGUUGGCCAACACCUUUGCCAGCAGCUUAUAGAGGCCCCCCAAAAGGCUGAUAGGCCUAAAAUCUCCAAAAUCCUCAGCCCCUCCUUUUUUCGGAAUCAGCACCAGAAAGGUAUUGUUAAUACUCUUGAGGAACGUAUUCUGGUCAUGGAACUCCUUAAACAUCUCCAGAAUUUCCUCCUUGACGAAAUCCCAACAGCAUUGCCAAAAGAAAACAGAGAACCCGUCAGGACCUGGGGCUUUAUCCCCAUUCAUUUCCAUCAGGGCUGACUAGACUUCACCCUCAGAGAAGGGGGCCUCCAGCAUCUCUGCCUCUUGCACACAAAUUUGAUUAAAAGAGAGACUUCCAAUGUUCGCCUUCCACCCCGAACUUUCGGAAAAUUGCUGCUUAAAAGCAUUUACUACCCCCUCUUUGAUUUCCCGCUCCUCUGUCAGUCUGAUCCCAUUAAUUUUAAUUCUAUCCAUGUGAUUAACUCUCCUAUGGGCAGACGUCAUUCGGUGGAAAUACCUCGUAUUCCUAUCACCUGCCUUCAACCAAAGUUCCCUAGAUGCCUGCCUCCAGUGAGUUUCUUCCAGAUCAACCCACUUGGCAUAAUCCUUCUUGGCAUCCUUCUUGCAAGCUAAUUCCUCCAUUGACAAGCUCCUUUCCUCCUCUACUCUGUCCCAAUACUCCACUUGCUGAAUCGCAGCCUCCUUGUUGCUUUCCAGAUUACCAAACUCCUCCCUAUUCCAAACUUUCAGCUUUUGCUUCAGCUCCUUCAAUUUCGCCGAUAAUCUAAAACUGGCACUUCCCCUUACCUCUAUACCCUGCCACCAACUCCGGAUUAAAUCCUUAAACCCCUCGACUUUGAACCACAUAUUUUCGAAUCUGAAGGGGGCAGGCCCUCUCCUCCAACUACCCUCCUCAAGUAAAACUGGAAAGUGGUCUGAAAUCGGCCUGGGAAGCCUCCGCUGACUCACCCUACUGAACUGAUCAAGCCAGCAAGGAGAGACCAAAAAUCUAUCUAGACGAGCCCUUGACAUGUUAUUCAGCCCCCCAGUCCACGUGAAUGCACCCCCUUGCAAUUGGAGGUCCACUAGGCCUAGAUCAUCUACAACUUCCGCAAACCUCCUCAUAGCUAAAGUUAUUCUCCCUUGCCUGCUUCUCUCACCUUGAGCCAGAGUAAUGUUGAAAUCACCACCUAGACACCAAGGCCCCUCCCAGAUUCCUCUUAUUGCCCCUACUUCUUCCCACAGCCACUCUCUUUCAAGUCUAGUGAACGGGUCGAAAACCCCCGUAAAAGCCCAAAUCACCCCAUUCUCCAUUGUCCUGAAUUUGCAGGAUAAAGAGAACUGGCCCACCUCCCACUCCAGCAACUUCAGAGCUCUUUUAUCCCAGCAGAUCAGCAUACCCCCAGCCGUGCCACAUGCAUUCAAGACCUUCCAAUCUAAAAAUCUACCCGUCCCUAAACUUCUCACCACCCUAUCAGUCAUAAUCUGAAUUUUUGUCUCCUGGAUGCAAAAGAGAUCCACCUUCUGCUUCCUAAAAACCGACUUAAUAACCUUCCUUUUCGUACUUUCGUUCACCCCCCUUACAUUCCAACUUAACAAUUUGAGAUUCAUUAAACAAUCACCAUCUGCACCCCUUUGCCCUGAAUAGGGCCUUUCUUUUUGCCAUCCCCCUCAUAAUUCACUGAGCACUCCAACCUCUUUAGCUCCCUUUCAAACCUCGAUUUUUCCAAUAAUCCUUUACUAUGAAUCUUUUCCCUUCUUUUCCUGAUUUUAGCCAGAAAAUUUAAAAUCUCCUUCUCCAGCCCAUCAGUCGAAAAACCUAGGAAAUGGCUAAAUCUUGCUAGGCUACUUUCUUGCCAAUCCAGGUCCUCUUCCCCCCUUUCAUCUUGAAUCUCAUUCUGUGAAGACCCCCCCUCCUGCUCCCUUGCCGUUGCUAGGGAUCCUUUGAAUUCAACCAGCUCCCAACAAUCACUACCAUUCGCCCUAGUACCAUCUGCCUCUUGCCCUUGAGAAGCUCUAUCAUUUUGGCAGCUCUCCCUAAAUUCCCCAGAAUGGUCAAAGAACUCCCCCUCUGGAGUCCAACCAAGAGAAAGCAUAGAAGAAGAAGAAGAAUUCCCGGAUACCCAUAAACCCCCUGAGAAUGAUAAGGCCUCAUACCUCAUAACUUCAUUCUGGAGGGCACUGUCCACCACCUCCUCGAGUGUAUUGGCCUUCUGAGCGAUCUCAGUUUCCAUCUCCCUUACUCUUAGAAAUUCUAACUCGAUGUUGGCAUCACCAAGCAGCCCAGAUUGAGCCAAGGCCUCCAACGGGCUUGAAUUAGGCUUGCUCGGGCCUAUUCUCUAUGGCGGCCCACCUCGCGGUGCCCCCUUCUCCUAUAGCCCGCUCGAAGACGGCCCACUAUACACUCUUUGGUCCAUAGAUGACCCAGCUCGUGGCCCAUAUCUCUCCUCUAAGACUUUCUCUUUGCCUUUUGGGCCUUUCGGACUGCCCUUCGGCCCAAGCCCAUCACUGCUAACUACUUUUGACGCACCUGAUCCAUAUAUUGGAAUUGGCUAGGCCCCCCGUCCCUCCUAAGACUAAGGCUCACAUUAGAUCCAUUAGGCCCACUCGGGUUCGACCCCUCAUCCGCCCCAUCCUCUAACUCUCGGAGCAAAGACCCGAAUUGGAUCCGGCCCCCCGACAAGACCCUACCCUUCCCAUCCGGCUGCCCAUCCAUCACAUCAUCUGACCGAAGCAGAGCCUCGAGGCCUGCGCUGCCCCACUCCUCCACUCGCCGGGCAAUGCGUGCACCUCCGUCAUUCCCUUCCUCACGACCUUCUGCACUCCGACAGUCCUCCGUCUUCUUUCUGAUCAACGGUGUUGCUUCCCACCACAUCGGUAGGAGAUAUGUGGUCUUGUCAACCCCAAUUUCUAUCGAGCUUGGCCACUCACCUCUUUUCGUCUUCACCAAAAUCCUCGCCCAUCGGAGGUCUUCCAUUCUCUUAGUCAGAUCAUCCAUGGCUACAAAGCCCCCGCACUCAUCUCCUACCCUUCGCAAGAUACUAGGCGUCCAUAACGACAGUGGCAGUCCUUUUACCCUCACCCAUACUUCCUCUUCUAAAUCCCCUUCUUCCAAACACCCAUAGCACGGGCUCCACAACUUCAGAUCAACUUGAAUCCCCCCCACCAACCUGGCUCCACCAUCGAGUGUUUUCCUAGCUUCUGUCGCCUUUUCAAACUCCAAUAGGGCCCGACCCUCAUCCAUCCAGGCCAACCCUAGCUUCCCUUUUAACCCCCAAACACUCGCCAUCAGCCACCCCAUUCUCUCCAAGUCCCCUCCUCCUGCUGCUUUAGGAUCCCAUUUUGCUAUAAUACCUCAAGAGAUGAUCCAUGCUCAUGGGUCCUCUUUUAAGUUAGCUUUCAUUUAUAUAAAUAUGAUACCUGGACUCUCAAACUUUGUCCAACAUACCUGUGUUAAUACGACACAUGGGUGUGAGUGUAGGAUCCUUAUUGGAGAGUUCUACUUUGAUUCAGAUAUGGCUGUUUGAAAGAUGUCAAAAUGGAGUUUGUUGGUAAGUAAACUUUUAUAAUAAUAUUUAGAGAUGAGAAGAAAGGUGAUGAUGAAAGAGAAUAGAGAUUUCUUAUAAAAAAUAUCUUUGCUGUUGAUUAAUUUCAAAUUGAUUUUUUUUCCUUUUAUUAGUUGUAUCCAAGUGUUCUACCUGUGGAAUCCCUAUAUCCUAAAAUUUGUAAAUGUGAAGGAUCAAAUGCCUAGACACAUGCCCGUAACUGACACAUGGGCCCAAAGUUGUGCCUUGUAGUUUAUCAAUGCUCAAAUUUGCAACAAGGACAUGGAUGUAGAAAAGGAUGAUGGUGCUCAACUUAGAGACAUGAAAACAAGGUGAACUGAAAGUUUACAUGACUUAUCAGUGCCCAAAGCUAUUUAACUGCACAUAUGUUUUGUUUUGUCUAGCAUGGCCACAAAGGCUGAAUUAAAAGUUCUUGUCACAUAGCCAUUCAGAAUCCAAAACAUACUAGGGUUUGGCAGUCAUGACAAUCUGAUUAAAUGUAUAUUGUUGCAUGACCAAUUUAAGAUGUGGUUUAUUAAUUGGAUACAAAGGUAGAUUAAAUGUGGCUGGAUUAGAAUAAUCUAGAGAAGCUAGUGAAGAAGCAAGUGGGGAGAGAUGAAGUUAGGCUUUGUUCCUGCACCUAUUUUUGUUCUUUAUUAGUGGAUGUAGCUCCUAUUAAAUCAAGUAGGACAACCUUUUGUUUUUUGUUUUUCCCUCUUAUCUUAUCAAUAGGAUGAUUAUUAAAGGGUUCUUGGUCUUGAAUUGGUGUCUUUGUCACAUCAUCUCAUUUUUUUGGAAGUUCAUGAGGACCAACUUCUUUGCAGGAGAUUCUUCAGAAGGCAUCUGGAGCACUGAAAAGCUCUGUACAAGGACUGCAGAAAGUGGGAAAGUCAGUGGUGGAAGUGAAUGCAGACACUCAGGGAGUACGUUCCAUCUCAAGUAGUUCUCAAGGGGCAGGAGAGGCUGCAAUUCAAGAUCGUUUCAUGGUAUCCAAGAGUGGAGUUAUUCCCCCUCUUAUUGUUGUUGUCUUUUAUGGAUCACUCCCCAAAAAAAGAAGAGAACAAAAAAAGUAGAUCAGUCAAUUCACAUGAUUAAUUGAAUGACUUCCUGUUAUGGCUAAUCAAGUUGCCUAAAAUAUGAUGAAGAACUUGGCAGAGAGGGAAAAGUGUACAUAAGCUUACUUCCCUGUGCUUAAUGUGUAGUUUUUGCCCCAAUUCUAUGUUAUUAUACUUUGUUGCUACAGCAUUGCAUGCCUAAAGGUUGGCGGUAGAAUGAUGGGAAGUUGUGCCAGUAACUCAAGUAAUUAUUUUUCUUCCAGGAUUGGAAUGAAUUAACUAGAUUUGAUCAACACCUAAAAAUGACAAGGAGAAGGAGAGGCAGGGGAAGAAAAGAUUUAUCAUGUGGAUAAGGAAAAUUGUUUUCUGUUGUGUCAUAAAAAUCUUUCCAAUUGGAAUUUCCUGGUUCUGUCUUUUUUCCACUUGAAUUUAGGGAAUAAUGUAUGGUCUGUUUUCAAAGUAGGCAAUUUAUUGCAGAAUUGUAUUUUCCUGAAAUUAAAUUCUGUUUACUGGGCACUGAUGAACAGGUCCCAGCAAACACAUCCACAUCCAUGGAGGAAACGGAAAAUAAGGGAACUGGAAACAGAAGUAAAGAGAAUGGUUAUCUUGAAAAUGCUGUUCAGAAUUCUGGUUUGGAAGAUGUUAUGGUAAGAUGAUGUGAUCCUUGCUUCACCAUAUGUAUUGGUUGUGCUUCCAUAUUUAUAAAUGAUCUAUAAGGGGUGCAAUUUUUCUUUAGUCUAUUAAGAGUUUUAAGGUAGUAUUUAUCUGCAGCCUGUAGGAUUACUUUUCCCCCUCCCAUGUUGGAAUAACAGGGAUAAAAAGUUGAAAAAUAAAUAAAUAAAUCUGUGAUAUAGUAUUCUGGCAGAAGGCUAAAAGAUGUAAAACAGUUUUGUCCACCAGGAAUACAUUUUUCUCCAAUUCCACCCUAGAGUUACCACACAUCUUCCCUUCAUAUGCCAUCUACAAUCCUGAGAUCAUUUCAACCCUGUCAAAAUUUAGUUUAAUAUGUUGAAACAGACCUCUUGGUUUAUAGAUUUACCUAGAAUUUCCUACUGGUGCGGGGAAAUCCUUGUUGAGUUGGAGAAUGGAUUCUAAUUCUGCCAAACAGACCAUAAGCUUAGAUAGACUUGCCUUUUCUUCUUCUUCUUUCUUUUGUUUUCUAUUUUCAAUUUUUGGUUGUUGUUUGAGGGGAGGCUGUUAGUUUUAGAGGGGCCUCUUGCAAUUAAUUUUUUUAAAAAGAAUUUUUGCUUCUUUGCACUUGAGAGAGAAUUGGAAGGAAAGCAGCUUGUGUGUUGCAGUUUUCCCUUCAUUCUUUAUGCAUUGUCUCCACCUCUUUCUUAGCUUAAGUCAGAGAUUACACAAUUCUGGCUUGUGGGAGUUUUAUCCUCAUCACACCAUCUUCAAUUUUAUGCUUUGACAUCAUCCAUUUUGCACUUUCGAAUUUGGUUUUGCUUGCUUUCUCCUUAUAUCUUCUUUUAGUCAGUUCAUUUUUUCUUGACAAUUUUCUCUCCAUUAAUCCUUCAUAGAGUAAUCACAAAACAGGCCAGCGAGAGAUGAAGUCAUCAUUACAAGAGCUUGCUUCUCGGGCAGCUUCUCGAGCUAUGGUUGAAGCUGCAAAAAAUAUCACAGCACCAAAUUCAGCAUAUCAAUUUGAGGUUUCUUGGCGAGGGCUUUUGGGUGAUCAUGCCCUACAGGCUUCCUAUUUGAAGGUUUGCAAUUCUCCUUGUGGUAUAGUCAUAAAGUGAAUCAUGUGUUAGAUGUUCUAAUAUAGUAAUUUAGAUCUUCAAGUAUGCAUGAAUAACAUCUCGAUCCAUAAAUGGUUGAUGCACCGAUUGGUCUUGUCUCUCAAUUUAAUGAGUAUCAAUUUGAUUGACCAGCAUAAACACUGUAUAAGGCAAAUUUAACUAUUGACAUCUUUUUUCCUGGAUGAUCGCUAGAAAAUCAGUGCUUUGAUUGUUAAUAAAUUUCUCAUAAGCGUUUCAAUUGGUUUAUUCACGUUGGGCCUCAUUCUUUCUUCUUGUAUGAUUAGGCCAUAUCACCAAAUGCAUUACCGCAGAUAUUCAAGAAUGCGUUGUCUGCUCCUAUACUAAUUGACAUUAUAAAGUGCAUUGCCACCUUUUUCGUGUAAGUAGAGAAAAUCUCUGCUCCUUUCUUUUUGUUGGAUAUUUGGUCUUCGCAUCUGAACUUAAUAGAUGCCUAAUGCUGUUCUUGUUUGUAUCUUGUGCAGCACAGAAAUGGACCUGGCCGUCAAAUUUUUAGACAAUUUAACCAAAAUUUCAAGAUUUGACAUGAUCAUCAUGUGUCUUUCAUCUACAGAUAAAACCGGUAAGUCUUUCAUCUACACGUGUUAAAAUACGUAUCACUGUUUAAAUCUUGCAUGGACUUUAUAUCACAUAGAAAUUAGAAAACAGUUGAACUUAUUUGGAUUCUUCCCAACAGAUCUACUCAAGAUAUGGGAUGAAGUGUUCUGUAACAAGGCAACUCCAUCUGGGUAUGCAGACACACUUGGCAAACUGCGUCCAAGGUACUGCUUCAAACAGUGAUGGAUCUGCAUAUUGAACAAUGCCUUGAAUUAUCAAGUGUUUUUGUCUGUACAAACUUUCCUAGGUGUAAAUCAGGUAACUUAAAAAUUCUGGUUGUCAACACUGCUUGGUGGGGUAUCUCUGAAAUAUUUAUCGAGUUUUAAAAAGAGUUCUUUUGCUUUGAGUUCCUUCACCAGAUUUAGGUCGUGUUCUUUAUUGUGAGAUCCAACAAAAACACAUCUGGAAAGGAGAUCUUAUCAAUGAUGGUACAUCGAAUAAAAUCUUGGGUUAUCGAAUUGGAUGGAGAUUACUCCUGAUCUUUAAGUUUUUGUUAGGUUUGAGUUAGGUGGAUAGGAGACCCCAGCUCUAGUUGCUGUUGGUUGGGCUCAUCAUUUCUAGGAUUUUAAUACCCGGAGUUUCACAUAAGAGUCGUCACCAAAUUUGACAUUUUCUGAUAUAGAACUUCCAUUGCGCUAUCAAGACAAUGUUGACACUUCAUUUUUAGUGGGAUCAAAUCAUGCUGACCGGCAAAGUGCAAGUUUUUGUCAGCAAUGAAGGAUUGUAGAAUUUGAUGAAGUCACUUUCAACCCUUUGUGCCCUGAACUAUUAGGAACAAGCCCUUGAAAUUCAACUGCCUCAUCGUUUACGUUGUAAUCUUUCUUCUUUCUGGGUGGUGGGUGAGGUUUCAGACCAGGUAUGCAAAAGGUCAGCCAAUUAGGCCGUGUGUUUUUUCAUCCUCGAGCUUUGAUACUGACCUCUAUGCCAUUGUUAAUAUGGUGUACUUUGUAGGAGACGAAUUAUAUAGCCCCAAUGUUGUAUUUAGGUCACUGGUACUGCCAUUUGACAAUGAACUAUGGGUUAUAUUUGAUUAAUUUGAUAAACAAAAGCAAGGAAAAUAAAAUAAAAAUGAAAAGUAGAAGGGAAAAAAAAGUGAAAAAAAUAAAAAAUAGAUUUAAAGCUGAUCAAUAGUUUUUAUGUUAGUUUAAACUUUUCUAACUUAAUUUUACACUUCAAUAUAAAUAUUAAAUAAUAUAAAAAUGUAUACAUUUUUAACUAGUUUUAAAUAUAUUUAAUUCUUUUUAUAUUUUUCAUAAUACAAUCAAACAAAAAAAAAAAUUAUUUUCUCUUAACAAUUUUUAUUUUUUAAAAUUUCUUUACCAAUCAAACAUAACCUUAAAUUUCUAAUAUUGUGGUCUAGAUUAAGGGUUUGGCCCCAUAUGAUAUUGGCUCUAGGGGAAGGGAUGUAGCCAUAACACAAGAGUUUGCUUUGUUGGGGGUUGGAAUAAAUGACCCUCGAGUGAAUUUCCGAUUAUGAAAGCUUGUUUAGGAAUCCAUGACUUUUUCCAAGAGAGAGAAGCCAUGACAUCGAAGUUUGCUUCUUCAAUAAUUGAGAUAAAUCUCUAUGAGCCCGCGUUACAGCCCUAACUUAGGUGGUAAAGAGUGGUAAAGAGUUGCGAUGUGAGGCCUGGUUGAGGUGGUGAAGAGUUGGAUGGGUUUACUAGAGAAAAAAAACUAUAUAUAUAGAAGGAUUUCAUAGGAACCCAUCUCUAUUUCCAAAGGACAGAAGCCAUUAUCCCCAUAAGAUGGUGCACAACUCUAGAGUUUGCUUCAUCUAUAUAUGGGGUGGAUUUCUAGUUAUAAAAAAAGAUUGCAUAGGAAGCCAUUUAUCUUUUUCAAGGAAGAGAAGCCAUUAUCCCCAAGUGGGGCAUCCAAGAAAGUCAUAGAAAAGUCUGGUAUAAUUGUGCCUCACUUCUCUCCACCAUGAAGGGAGAUUGUUCCUUUUUUGCCUUUAGGCCGUUCAAAUUUUCGAGGAAGAAUCCAACUGGGGGUCCAUAGAAUUGAAGCCAUGACCUGCCCCUUCAUCAUUGAUAGUUAUGGAUGGCAUCAUGGCAGUUGGGUGUUUCUCCUUUCCCUCAAGCGUGAACAUUUUCUGGGUGUUGACAAAGGACACCAUCAAUGGUACUUGAUAGCUCCAUUUUUUUUUUCUUUUCCUUUUUUCUUUAUCUUCUAAUUAACUAAUUAUUGAGAUCCAUAAGGGACUUUCCAUAAUUUGUAGUUUUUUAGACAUUACAGCUAGUGCUUAAUGACCAAAUAUAACUUUUAAUCCAAUGCCAUGUAAUAUUUAUUUAAUAAUUUUUUUUGAAAUUAAUAAAAAAAAUUAUCUUUAAUAAAAAUCUUUUUAGUUCAUUAGAAUAGCUUAAUAUAUAUAUGGAUCAUAUAAAUAGCUGAUAAAAGUGAUAAUAAAAAUUUUGAUAUAGGUAGCAUUGUCCUUAUUAGAAGCAAUUUAUUCAAAAUAUAAAUUGAAUUGUACAACAAAAAUAAUUAUGACCCUAUUUGAAUUGACUUUUGAAGAAAAAAAAAAACUCUUCUCUAAGUUUAAUAAGAAAAGUUUUGGUUUAAUUGCCUUCUCCCAUUAAAAUAUUCAUUUUGACUUUCUUUUCAAAUUAUUAUUUAAAAUUAUCAUUUGGUCCAUGUUUUGCAGUUUUUUUUUAGUUUGUUGGAUAGAAAAUGUGAUUUUAGCGUAAGAAAAUCAUUUGAAAAAAUAUAUAUUUUUAAGUAUAAUUUCAAAAUAAGUCUAAAAGAGCCGUUGGAUAAUGUGUUUACUCGGAGUAUUUUUAAUAAAAAUAUUUAAUAAUAAUUUUAUAAAGCAUUUUUAGUUUAAAAUUAAAAAAAAAAAAAAAUUAGAUGCUCGGUAAAAUUUAAGAAACAUUUUUUUAAAUCUAAAAAAUCACUUGUAAUAUUGAAAAACCACUUAAAAAUAUUUGACAAAUAAUUUUUUCAAAAACACUUCUAAAAAAAAUACUUCUAAAAAACAUUAUUAAAUGCAUUUUGUAUUUUUCUAUAAAGCAUUAUAACUAAUUUUUCAAAAUUUUAAAAGUGUUACAUAAAUUUUGUCAAACUUUUAUUUUAUUUUUUUAAAAAAAAACAGGUUUUACACUAAAUUUUUUUUUUUAAAAGCAUUAUCAAAUGAUCUCUAAAACUUAUAUUAUAUUAAGAGUUUCUACACUUACUUGGUUGAUUUUGUUCAAUAAAUUUAUGACUUAAAAAAAAAUCCCUAAUAUAAAAAUCAGAGCAAUAUUACUUCUAGUAAAAACUCCAUUAUGAUUUAUAUAAGAUAAUGUAUUUAAUAAAACUUUAACAAUAAUAAUAUUAUCCUUUAAAAUUUGUGACUUUCGAAGCUCCCAAUUGAAGUAAAACAUAAGUCAUCCUAACGAAACCCUACCUCUACUUCUACUUAUUUUACUAUUAAAAGAAAAGGUUAGAAAUCUUUCCAAUAAGACCCUCUAUUGCACUAUUAAAGAAAAACAAAACAAAAACCUUUUUAAAGCCAUGUAGUAAGGUACUAAUCUUAUCGAGUACCAUUGAUGUUGUAAUAAAAGAAGGCAACCAUCUUAGUAAUCAUGGUUUAUUCAUUGAGAAACUUCAUUGUUGGUCUAACCAACAACUUGAUUGCUCACCAUUCCCAAUAUCAAAUCAAUAAAUAAUUGGAUUAUUAUGAUUUAGCUUCACUUGCAAGUUGAUUAUUUGCAUGAGAAUGAUUAAGGUGAAGUCAAUCAACAAAUCAAUUUAAAUUCAAAGACUCGCUUAACGUGCAAGUUGAUGUUUGAUAUUAUCAUUAUUAUUAUUGCUUAUCAUUAUAAUCUUUCGGGAAAUUGGAUUGAAAGUUUAGCGUGAGUUAUAAUAAAGAUUCGUAUUAAAAAUCGAUUGUAAUUUCAUAAUUUGAUAAAAAAAAAUUAUAUAAAACCUUGUCCCAAUAUUCAUCAAUUGUAAUUUGUGUUUCUUCAUUAAAUUUUAAUAAAUAUAAUUUUACAAUCAGCACCCAGAUCAAGAAAAUAAACUAAUAUUUUACCAUGAAUAAAAAAUUUUAAUAGUUAAAAAAAAUCAUACAAAAAAACUCUUAUCAUUGCCAAAAAGAAGUUAACCACCAAAUGAAAGCUAUUGGUCAAACAAGAAAUGUGUAGAGCCCUUAAUUUCAACAUCAAGGCCAAUCCUUUUGCCUACUCUCUUGUAAACAAACUCAAUGAGUGCUAUGCAAAACCACAAGGCAUUGGAGUUGUUGGGCACUAAAUUCAAAGUUGACCCACUUGAUUUCUCUAGGCUUUUUUUUAUUUUUCAUUUUUUAUUUUUUUAUUUUUUGUGGGGGAUUGCCAUGGGCCAUUUUAUGGGACAACACCCAUGAAAAUUGAAUUUCAUGUCUACUUUAUUAAUGUAUGGAAAGUGGAAUCCAUCUCAAUUGGAAUGACAUUAUUUGACGUAAUAAAUGUUUGUGAUACACGUGAAGAAAGUGAUGAAUCACAUAAUCAUUCAUAAAUUAGGGGUCAUUAUUUUUGUAUCUAAUUUGACAAAUCACAAUUUUUGGUAUUAUAGUGUAUGUGUUGAUAUCCUGUAAAUGAAUAAACAAGGCAUGGAAAAUAUGAUCGAAAACAAAAAAAAAAAAAGCUAAUGCAUGAUUAUAGUAAUGAAAUUUUCACACCAACCAAACAGAACAUUACAGUUUCUAUCUUGUACAUUUAUAAGCUAAUGCAUUAAAUGACCCCUGCACAAAAGUAUAGCUGUAGUAUCACAUUUAAGCAAAAUAUUUUUUAUAUCAUUGGAAUUGAUUUUUAAGAAACCAAAUAUCUUUUUUUUUUUUGAAAAAAAUUAUAAAUAUUAUUUCGAAUUGAAUGUCUAAAUUUAAUAAAUAGUCAUUUAUUGUUCUAAGAAGGUUAAUGCGAUGUUUCUAUUUUUUGUUGUAAAGAAAUCCUUAAUAAUUAAAACUAUUUUUACAAAGUAGAUCCGUAGAUUUUUCAUAAUCAUAUAGAAAAUUUGUAUCAUAUGAUACUGAGUUUGCAAGAAAUUAAUAUGGAAGAUGAAUCAUUUCCACCUAAGAACUAUGCAAAUCCCAUAAUUUCGUUUCUGUUCAUUGGAUUCAAAGUCAUGGAAAAGGGUUUCAAAUCAAAUUCCUCUCCCCCUCCCCCCAACACCCCCCAAAUCUAGAAAAUAAUUAUAUUCUCUUUCUCCAAACACCAAAAAAGUUUGAAAGUUUUCUAUAAUUUAUUUAUUCUUCCAAGUUCUGACACAAAGCUGGCCACUUUUUUCAGGAAAGACUGGCUACAAUCACGUGACACAGUUCCUCAUCCUUCUCUCUCAUGUCUCCUUUAAUUUGUCUCAAACCACGCGCUAUUUUCUGCCUUCUUUAUUGUUUCUUUCUUUGAUUUUCUCUCAUUUUCCACUCGCUCUUCAAACUUGCUGUUCAAAGUUUACACCUCGGUAACAGGGUGGAGACCCUUUGGGAGUGUUUGCUCCCUCAGAUCUGCCUCCUCAGGGCAAGGUAUGGUUGAUUCCUGUUUGUUCCCUUUAAUGGGUGUUCUGGGUUUGUCUUGUUCUUGUUUAUUUGUUAAUCUUUUGAUGGUUCUGUAUGUGGGUUUUUGGUUUUUUGUUCUGGGUUGGUAAUUUUUUGAGUGUACGUGUCAUUCUAGUUUCGGGUGCUUGUGGGUCUUUUUCUCUUUUGAACUGUUGGUGUAAUUUCUCAGCUGUGUAAUGUUCGUGUUGGGUGUUUCUCUUUUGUUUGUUUCUAGCACUGGGGGGGUUGGGGGCGGGCGUUGUUUUCUUCUGGGUUGGUGAUCUCCCACUCUAUAGUUCAUUUUGGGUUCUAGGUAUUUGCAGAAAAGAGGUUAUUUUUAGAUGCAGUUUCUGGGUGCGUAUGUAGUACUUGUCUGUUCUGUCUGGAAUUUAAUUGAGGAAAAAGGUUAGGCCUUUUAAGUUUGUUUUUGUUUCUUCUAUGUUGGUCAUUUUUCUCUUUAUACACUUCCUUUUGGUUUCUGGGUAUUUUUGGUGCAUUUCUGGGUAUAGUGUAAUCCAUUUGUGGGCUUACUGGUUCUUGCUUUGGUCAUUUUGGUGUAAGAUUAUAGUGUUGCUUCAUUGUCCUUUUCCUUUGCUUUGACCAUUUUCAGGAAAUGGGUUUCAUUUCUAGAAGGAUCUUUCCAGCAUGUGGAAGCAUGUGUGUGUGCUGCCCUGCAUUGAGGUCAAGAUCUAGACAACCGGUCAAGCGAUACAAGAAACUGCUUGCAGAGAUCUUCCCCAAAUCCAUUGUGAGCACUUACAGUUAAUCAAUUAAUAUCUAGUAUUUGAUCAUGUACUGUCAGAUGUGAUGUUUAUUUCUCUAUUAGAGUUUCAGGCAAGAAUGUCUCUGUGAGUAAAACCUAUUUGUUUAUCAAAAAAAUAUAAAUGGUGAGUGACAGAGGGCACACUAGAUCAUACGAUAGAAGAAGCCAGUCUCUCUAACUUGUUAUGCCAUGAUGUGGUCCUUAACAGGGGAAAAAAAUCCCCUCGCAAGGCUAUUGUAGCAUAGAUUCUAAAAAAAAUAUCCCUUGGCAUGGCCAUCUGUAGCAUAGGUUCAACGAUCACUAGCUAUUAAGAUUUUAAACAUUAAAUGCAUUUUAAUCAACUUUUUAUUUAUGCUUGGUUAAAGAGGGAACAAGUUCAAAACUAAUGUUUAGUACCUGUUAAACCUAGCGCAUGGAGCUAUGCUCUUUUUAAAGAAACUUUUAGACUUUAGUUUAUGGAGUAUGAUCCCUUUUGGAAUCUUGCACUGCACAACUUAAUUUGGGCAAAGCUGAAUGAGUGGUGUGAGGUUUCAUGGGUAACCAAUUAUUACCGAGUGCUAUAUGACAGUAAGCGUCUUGUUUCCUUGUGGUGCAGCUUCUUAUUCUGUAUGAUUGUGGCCUUACUGGUUUAAUCAGUGUUUCUCCUGUUCUUAGCAGUACCUAGAAUAAUGAAUUUUAAAUUGCAGGAUGGCCCCCCAAAUGAACGGAAAAUUGUGAAGUUAUGUGAAUAUGCUGCUAAGAAUCCUUUCCGAAUCCCAAAGGUAAUGCCUGUCUUAUGAGCUCCUUCUUAUGUCUGUUUAACAAUUAAAAUUGGGUUUAGAUCAGAACAUAAAUCCUAAAUAUUGGGUUUAAACCUGAAAAAUAGUGUAUGCACGGCUGAGUUUCUGUUGGGACAAUCUCUUUUCCAUAGAUAGCAAAAUAUCUUGAAGAAAGGUGCUACAAAGAACUGCGAUGCGAGCACAUCAAGUUCAUUGCUAUCGUUACGGAGGCUUAUAAUAAGUUGCUUUGCAUGUGCAAGGACCAAAUGUAAGAGCUAGUUUUGUUGUGUAUCAUUUUUUAAAAUUUUCUUUCUUCAUUCUAGUGUUUUAGUCAAUGAAUUUUGGUUAAGCAAUAAAUCCCUUAAUCUACCAAUGAGACUAACCCUGUCCUUCCUGCGACAUGCAAUGGAACUCAAAUUACCAUCCAUGAUCUUGUUUUUGGUAGAAAAUUCUGUGCUUUCACAAAAAAAUUUCCCCUUUAAGUUGAGCAUUUGAUUACCACGAAAUCCUUUGUCUCAAUGUAAAGAACUGCAGGAUCAUAAUUCACAUUUAAUGCAUUAAUGAAUUAUGUAUUUAUUUUCCUGUGUUUUGUAGGGCAUAUUUUGCUGUCAGUCUGUUGAAUGUGGUCAGUGAACUCUUGGAUAAGCCUAAGAAAGAUGCUAUGAGGAUCCUCGGAUGCCAGACCUUAACUAGGUUCAUUUAUUGCCAGGUGAAUUGUGAUGCUCCAAUACAUAAUGCUUGGAUUAUGAUGCAAAGUGCACAAACAGAUGGCUUUUCAGGAAAAGCCUUAGUAGCUUGAUUGCAGGGUUAGACCAUUUAGAGAUGCAAAAUCUCAUUUGGUUUGUACAAUGCUGUCUUUGCUAUAAAGGGCAGCUUAUCCUUCCUGUACCCUUUCUUUUUUAUAAUUCAAUGAAAUGUUUCUUACAAAAGAAUCUUGUUUUUCCCAAACAUGAUAGAUGCUCAAGGGUUUUGAUUUCCAUGCUUAUAGGGGGAUGUUACUUGUAUUCCGUUAAUGUGUUUGUGAGAUCCCAUAUUCGCUAAGAGAGAAGCCUCUGACCCUUUAAUAUGUAGUGGGUUACACUUAGCUGUGUAGAUAUGUUUUAAUGUUGUGCAAGCCUUGGGCCCAAAGCAGAAUAUCUGCAUGGGAGGGAGCGGGUCAUUUCAGUGUUACUUUGCAUAUGUUGCUCUUUAACUGUAAACUUCAUUACUUUCAUGAAGAACUGGCAUAAAUUCUGUUAUUGACUAUUGUUCUGAACUGAUUUAUGAACAGGCAGACAGCACUUAUACACAUAACAUUGAAAAUUUUGUUCGUAAAGUAUGUAUGCUGGCUCGUGAGGCUGGGGACGAACAACAAACAAGUACCUUGAAGGCAUCAAGCCUGCAGUGCCUUUCAGCCAUGGUAGUUUGCUUAACUUCUAUAAAUUUCUCAAUGUAUAUAGUCAAUAUAUUCAAUUUUAUAGAAUAGUUAGUGCUACUGCAUCUUUGACAGUCUUUUUUUAUUAGUUUUGCAUUUUAAUGGAUGUUAAAUUUUUUAUUUCUAGAAAUGCAUCCUGGUUUAUUUGAAAGAUUUCUGCCUUUGCAGGUGUGGUUCAUGGCAGAGUUUUCACUCAUUUUCUCUGAUUUUGAUGAAGUUAGUCCUUUUACCCUUUUAUAAUUACUGUCAGUUUCUUAUUGAUCUGUUAAACCUGUUGGGAAAUUAUGGUGGUUCAAAUAUGGAGUCUAUGUCAUAUUCUAACUCAUGUCGGAUUAGAACAGGGAAACAUUACCAUAAUCAUUUGAAAGAAGUUGAAAUGGAAUCAUAUAUUGAAAUUUUGGGUGGCCUUAUUCUAAACAGUUGUCUGUUUAACUGGCAUCAAGAAAUGUUAUCAAGGGAACUAAAAGAUUUGCCCUAUUUGGCAAGAUAUUUGCACUGUGAAAAAAUUCAGUAAGAAUGAUCCAUUCACCAGCCAAUGAUGCGAACCAUGGGGGAGUUUGUAUACCUUUAAUGUGGUGUUUAUUCUUCUCUAAUCCUUUUAGUGGUGAUAUAAGUUCUAAUCACUGAAGAGUGCUUGAAUUGCAGUCAAACCAGUCAGGCUCUCUUCAAACUCGUUUAGUGUUUUUGAUGUUUAUGUUUCAAUGUCUAUUUAUUAUUGUUGGUUUUUCAUUAACUGUUCUUUGUCCUACUUUUGAUCAUGAACCAUAUGCAAUUAUAUAUUUGAUUUAACUAUGAAUCCAAACUGCAGAUUGUGCAUGUUACUUUAGAUAACUACGAGCGAGAUACACAUAAUGGAGAAGAUGAUGAAAGAGGUGAGCCACAUCAUAACUGGGUGGAUGAAGUAGUUAGAUGUGAAGGGAGAGGUGGUGCCGGUGUUGGUAGUGAAAUUAGCCCUAGCUGCCCGGUGAUCAGGCCACAAACUGAAAAGAAAGAUCCUUCUCUUUUGACAAGGUAGUAGCUAACUCAAAAACCCAAAUAAAAAGAAUGGUGUUUUGUUUAUCGUAUUUCAGACUCUGUAACUUGCCACCAUGAUGAACAUAUUGGUUAAUUCCUCACUGCAGAGAAGAGAUUGAGACACCAAAAGUAUGGGCCCAAAUUUGCAUCCAAAGAAUGGUUGAAUUGGCUAAAGAGAGUACAACAAUGCGUCGGGUAUUGGAUCCAAUGUUUGUCUACUUCGACACUGGGAGGCACUGGGUUCCUCGGCAGGGCUUGGCCUUGGUGGUUCUCUCUGAUAUGUCCUACUUUGUGGAGAGUAUGGGUAAAUAUAAUCUCUCUUUCCACCUCCUCUCAGGCAGUUUAUACCUAAUAUCUUUUACCAGUAAAAAAAUUUACUGAUUUAGUUGUGUCAUUUAUUAUUUGUCCGAUAGCUGAACAUUUUAUUUGUUUAACUAGGAUAUGUCAAAGUAUUUUUCAGCAUAUACAUUGGUAUUUCAAUUUGAGCACUUUUGUUUGACGCAAAAAUGCAAGAGGUAAUGACAUGCCCAUUGAGAAUAAUCCAAUGUUUGAAUGUAGAUUUAUAGAAAAACGCAUGCAUAUCCACAUGGAAGGAAGGAGUGUCAGUAAAAUAGAAUGGAUAAAAUGAAUCUAAAUUUGAUUCAAUGGAUUUAAUAUUUUGUGAUACAUAUAGUUUAUAUGUUUUAAAACUUGUUGUAUGUCUUUUUUUCCCCUGCAUCUAGAUGCAUUUGGGUCAAAUGUCUUCAACCUGACGCUUUAUAGCUUCUAUGAUCAAUUCACAUACUGCAAACAGGUUUUGAGCCACAUCUCUUCCGGUUACAAUUUCCAAAUGUAGUUGCCAAAUUCUAAAAGACUAGAAGGCUAGUAAAUCUAGAUACUUCUGCUAAUGCAGCUUCUGUUUCCAGGGGACCAGAAAAUGAUUUUAGCUGCUGUGAUACGCCAUCUAGACCACAAAAAUGUUGCACACGAUCCCCAAACCAAAUCUUAUGUUAUCCAAGUUGCCACUGCUUUGGUUCAUCAAGUCAGAUCAGGAGCCAUACUGGCAGAAAUUGGCUUUGUCAGUGAUCUGUGCAGGCACUUGAGAAAAAGUCUCCAGGCCACUGUUGAAUCAGCAGGACAGCAAGAAUCGGACUUGAAUAUCUCUCUCCAAAACUCAAUUGAAGAUUGCCUGCUAGAAAUUGCCAGGGGGGUAAGUUAGAGUCUGUUUAGCAUUGUUUUUAAAAAGCACUUCUAGACUAAAAGGUGUUUUUGAAGAAAUCAGACAUUUAACAAAAAUUAAAAAACACUUUUAAAAGGUUGAAAAAUCACUUAUAAUACUUUUUGGAAAAAUGUUUGAUAGGUGAUUCUUCUAAAAACACUUCCAAGAGAGACACUUUCAAACACUAGAAAAUUUUCAUCCUUCAAGUAUUAAAAUACUAAAAACACUUCCUAAAAUCACUGCCAAAUGUACUCUUAGAGCCCAUUUGGUAGUGAUUUUAGGAAGUGUUUCUAGUAUUUUUUAUAUUUGAAAUUUUUUAUCUUUUAGGUAUUAGAAAUGCCAAAAACACUUUCUAGAAUUACUGCCUAACGCACUCUUAGUUACCUUUGUGUUACUUGAAAUUUUUUCUUUUAAUGGGGCUUGUAAUCUAUAUUACUUUUGUGCUGGUUGAUAUUAGAUUGGCGAUGCACGACCACUAUUUGAUAUGAUGGCAAUAACUUUGGAAAGUUUGCCAUGUGGUGGGGUUGUUGCCCGGGCAACUAUUGGAUCUCUGUUGACCCUGGCUUAUAUGAUUUCACUAGCAUCAGUCUCUUCAUGCUCACAGCAGGUAAGAGGAGUUUGGUAUUCUUAUGAUAUCUUUUAAAACAAGUUUUUGGAUUGUUCUGCCAUUCUCUUAUGUUCUGGGUCUCUCUGCAAAUUUGUUGUUGUAAUGUCACUAGAUAUUACUAGCAUGUGCUCCUUUUAUUCCCAGCCCAAUAACCUUUUUGUUUCUCAAAAACAUUUUAAUGCAGGUGUUUCCAGAAUCACUUCUUGUCCAACUUUUGAAAGUAAUGUUGCAUCCAGAUGUUGAGGCACGUCUUGGAGCACACCAAAUAUUUUCUGUUCUUCUCAUACCAAGUUCUAACCAUCCUAGACAAACGGUUGCUUCUUUGCGAUCUGGUUAUCUUUAUGAACAAAGAAGAUGGCAUUCCAAUACUGCAUCUGCAUGUGCUUCAAUUACUGCUCGACUUGAGAAGCUCCGUAAAGAGAAGGAUGGCACUAAAAUAGAACAUGGGAAUAAUGUUCAAGAUGAUCUUAAGGAAAAAGAAAUUGCUGAAGAAGACUGGAAACAUGGGCGGGCCCGCAAGAAUUCCCCUAAUUUUUACAACUUAAGUUCUAUUAUUGACCGGACAGCUGGAUCAACCAGCUUGACUGAGUCCGUAAGCAUUUUUUGUUAUUUCCUUGAGGAGUUGUGUGCAUGUUCAUGUAUUUGUGUAAUUAUGAUCAGUUUCACUACAUUAAACAGUAAGCAUAAUUCAUUGAUUGGCACAGGAACCAUAUAUUCUGAAGGUUAGUGAGGACCAAAUAGCUCAGCUCCUGUCUGCCUUUUGGAUUCAAGCCAAUCUUCCAGAUAAUUUGCCUUCAAAUAUUGAAGCUAUAGCUCAUUCUUUCAGCUUAACGCUUAUUUCUUCACGCUUGAAGGUAACAUAUUUUUUCUUCCUCCCUCCCUCCCUCCAUCUCUCUUUCCUUUUAAAGUUCUCGAUGAUAGAUUUCUACCUUAAAAUGCAAUGUAGGAUCCAGUGGAGCAGUUUGAUUCUCAUAGGGUGUUAACUAUUUUCCUGUAUCACUUGUGUUUAAAAUCCUUGCAGUCUUUUUUUUCUUUAUUAAUUUUUUGUUUUCUAAAAUUUUCUGUGGAUGGAUACAUGUAGAUGUAUAUAUUGCUGUGCUGUUGUCAUUACUCAUGAAAUCUCUCAAACUCUGUAAUGUUGCAGAACCCCAAUGACAACCUUGUGGUCCGCUUUUUCCAGCUUCCCCUAUCUCUGAGGAAUAUAUCCUUGGACCCGAGCAAUGGUAUGGGCUAUUGAAUUUCUUGAACAGCCUUUCAUAAUUUGGAGAAUGUUGAGGAUGCACAAUUCAAACUUUUCUGCUUCUUUGGCAGGGACGCUGUCUCCGGCAUGCCAGAGAUCAAUCCUUGUGCUGUCAACUGGGAUGUUGAUGUUUGUGGCGAAGAUUUAUCAGAUUCCCGACCUUAAUGAUUUGAUGAAGACCUUAGUUCCAUAUGAUGUGAGUUUUACUCUGUGUGCUGCCAACCAAAAUGCCUGAUUUUCUAUUGACAUUCAUUUUUUUUUUUCUGAGGAAUGUAUUCUUAACAUCAGGUUGAUCCUUUUGUGGCCAUUAACGAUGACCUUCAAGUAUGUGUAAAGCCUCAAGCAAAUGUGAGAGAUUAUGGAUCUGUCACUGAUAAUCAAGUUGCAAUGUCAUUGCUUUUGGAGUUACGAAACAAAAUCUAUGAGUCCGACAAGGUCAUAAUGGACAUCUUAAUUCAGAGUCUAUCUAGCAUUACUGAGGUACGCCAUUUCAUUGUGGGUGAGUGGGUGUGUGGGUGGGGUGACACCUACAUAACUACCUAAUACAUGAUAGUUUUGGAUCUAAAUUCAUCUUUUUCUGCUUGUUAAGUUGGAUGCAGAUGAACUGGCUAAGCAACUGUCUGAAACAUUCACUCCUGAUGAUGCAUUAUUGUUUGGUCCACAAUCAAUAUUCGGCCUAGAACACAUUCAAACGGUUUCACUUCCCAAGGAAUCACUUUCUUUUGAUGGGGUAUGCUCUCUUGUGAUCAUUAUCUAUUGUUUUUUGAAAUUGCAUUAAUUUGGAGAUAAUUUCUCAUAAAGCUCAAUUUUUGGGUGUGCUCUUUCACAAACCAGCCACCAGCCACCUUUCCAAUUAGGAUUCAAUCUAUACGAAGGAAGAGUCAUGAUAAUAAUUGAAAUAAGAUUUUAUGAUUAUGAUUGUCACUUUUGUUGCAGGAUUUUCCACCAAAUUCAUUAGUUGAGGAAGACCUGAUUAGCGAAUCAUCUGUUGUAGACCUCUCCCGCUUCAUUCCCAAAAUGCCUGCAUCCCCUUCUCUGUCGCACGUGAUUAGCAUUGGGCAGCUGCUUGAAUCGGUAAUCUCUCUCUUUCUCUCUCUCUCUCUCUCUUAUCAAAAACAUGCACAUUUGUAUAUGAAUUUAGUGAAUCCCCCUAGUCACCUUUUUACUUUUAUUUGAAAGCUUUCUUUACUAUGGACCUGAGGGGAUCUGGAGUUUAAGAUUAUAAGCUCUGAUGGCUGACUUGAUCACAAAGGUUUUCCCAAACAAAGGGCACAACAAAAAUAUGUGUGCUUGUGCAGUGGAUCUUUCCCGACUAUCUACUUACAUGCAAGCAUCCAUUGAUAUGGGGUUUGGAGAAUAAAAACCCCCAUCCAAAAUGACAUUUGAGAUUGAGUGAUGCAAAUUCUUCCUAAUGUUUACAAACGGAUUUGUUCUCAGGCGCUUGAGGUAGCUGGUCAAGUGGCUGGAACAUCUGUCUCGACUUCACCCCUCCCAUACAGCGCCAUGGCUAGCCAGUGUGAAGCUCUUGGCAGUGGCACCAGGAGGAAGCUCUCCAGUUGGUUGACCCAUGAAAAUGGUUACACCAUCGGACCUGACAAACCGUUUCCAACAUUCCCUGCAGACGGGUGCUCAGCAAUCACAAACGUGAGAACUUAAAUCCAUUUCAGGGUCAGGAUUCAGACCCAUAAUGUAUAUCAUGCUCUAACAUAGCUCUGGUUUAUGCAGAUCACAAGUGAUGGCAGGUCUGUUCCUGGUGGCAAGUUAUCGUUGGAUCCAUGGCUGGCAAUGAGGCUGCCUCCUGCGAGCCCAUUCGACAAUUUCCUCCGAGCAGCUGGCUGUUAAAGAAAAGGAGGAGAAGCUAUGCCAUCUCUCCCUGUUGUGUCUAACUCUGUAAAGUGAUGGGUACUGAUUAGAGUUCUUACUUAGCUCAAUGUAUGAUUUUACACUCAGAACUAAGAUGUUUUCAGUAUGUUGUAUCAUUCUAUGCAUUAUUCUCCUCGUACUUCGAUCUAGUCUGAGUGUUUGGUUAUGAAUCUCUCACUCUCUUCUGUUGUGUGGGUUUUUUCUCCUCUUUUCUUCUGACUCAGAAAAGCCUGGAAAAUUUUUCUGGGUUUCUUGAUUGUUCUUUGGCAUGGCACCUAGCAUUUGGGUAUCUGCUUCCUCAUUGUAUUGCAGAUUACAAGUCCUUGCAACUUUUGCAGCAAAACCUAGUUUCAUGGGAGGAUGAGAGUUGAAAAUGUUGAGGGGAAAAGAUUUUACAAAUUCUAUUGAAGAUAGAUUUACAUAAAUUCUCAAAUUCUAGGAAAAUGCCAAGAAAUUUAAUGGGCUUCUUGUCCUAAGGUGGUUAAACUAUGAGCCAUUGAUGUGUGUAUUGUAAGGGUUUGUGAGUGAUUUUAAAGUAGGUUAAAAAUAGUAUUACUGUUUGAAAAAGUUAUUCUUAUAAAAGUUAGACAAUUAGGCUUGUUAAAUAGGAUUUAAUGCGUUGCAUUUAUUAACUAGUCUAAUCAUUUAAAAUUCAAAUAGUGGUUCAAUUAAUAUAAAAAUUUAUGGACAAAAUCGAUAUAAAAUGAGUAUUAUUUCUCUUAUACAUAAAACCAUAUUUUCCUGAUUUUUUUAAUGAUAAAUAAACUCAAAAGCAAAUAAAACUCAAUGUGUUGAAUCCAUUAAUUAGUCUAGUAAUUUCUAAAAAUAGGUUGAAGCUCAAAUAAUGAUCUAAUUAAUACUAUAAAUUUAAAAACAAAAAUGGAUUUGGAUCGAUUCUAUAAAUCUCUUUAGAAUUAUAUUUUUUCAUUUCUUUUACUAGACAAAUAAAAUUCAAAUUAAACAAGACCUAAUGCAUUAGAUUCGUUAACAAUUUAGUAAUUUUUAAAAAUGAUUUGAAACUCAAAUAAUAAACCUAUUAACAUAAAAAAUUUAUGGAUAAAAAUUAGUUUAUAAUAACUAUUUUUUUUUUUACACAUAAUUAUUUAUUUUUUUUUGUAAAUUUUAUCUCUAGAGAAUGGAAUGUGGGCCCAAAUAUGUGUUAGUAGGCCCGAGCCCAACAUCCAUAUUUUUAUAAAAUUUUAGAAAAUUAUUUUUUAUUUUUAAUUUAAAAACAGUUUUUAAAAACAAGCAUAGAAAACAUGGCGAAACUGACCAUAAGCCUCCUAAGAACAAAAUAAGUUUUUUUAGUAAGUAAAAGUGGCACGAAAAUGGAAUAUGGGCCCAAAUAUGCGUUAGUAGGCUUGAGCCCAAACACCCGUAUUUUUAUAAAAUUUUAGUGUCGGACCAAGCAGCACUAAGCCUCUUAAUAGCAAAAUAAGGGCUUUUUUAGUAAGCAAAAGUGGCACGAAAAUGGAACAUGGGCCAAAAUAUGUGUUAUAGCCCUGGGCAAAUCCAGCCCAUAUACGGCCCAAAUGCAAAUGCCAGCCCAAUCGCAACGGAACUCAAACAGGCUACAAAAGCGAACCUAGUGGUUGACGUCUCUCAGUUCCACUCGUUCGCCAUUUCCAGGUUCUCUCUUUUUCUGUCUCUGUAUAUAUUUAUUUUUAAUUUUUAUUUAUUUAUUUACUUGUAGAUCUGAUAGAUCUAGCUUGAUGAUCUGCUAUUUCUAGUUAUCGAGAUAUUUUUCUUGUGGUUGAUAUUAUGAAUAUUGUUGGGUUUUUUUUGUUUUUUUUUUUAAAUUUAUUUUUUAGUAAAAAUUUUGGAUUAUUUCUGAUGAAUCUGUUGUUAUUCCCGUUAAUUCCCUACUUCCAAUUACAAAAAAGAAAAAAGAAAAAAUAAUAAGAGCCGUCCAAAAUAGCCAUCGAAAGUCUGAAUUUAUUUUUUUUCCUGGUCGGGGUUGGUUGCAUAUUGAGGGAUUUACAGUAAAUUCCCUAGUAUAGGCAAGAUGGAAUUGAAUUCGCGGUGGUUCGAAUGAUUUGGUUGAAUUUUGGGGGGAAACCCUCCAAAAUAGUCAUUCAAGUUCAAUUUUUUUCCCUUAUUGGGUUGGGGGCGCGGUUUGUAUAUUGAGGGACUUACAAUAAAUUCUCUAUCAUGCUAUAGCAAGACGGAAUUGAAUUUGUGGGUUUGAAUAAUUUGAUUGAAUUUUGGGAAUUUGAGUUUGAUAAUACCCUUUACAUUUUAUGGAUUCCAUGUAGAAAUUCUUGAAUUCUGCACUAGAAUUGGUGGGCUGGGAAUUUACAAUGCAUUUUACAGAUUCUAUGUUUAUUGUAAACUAUAGCAAGAUGAAAUAUUUGUGGGUUGGAGGAAUUUGCUUGAAUUUUGUGAAUUUAAAUUUGAUGAUACACCUAAUAUUUUAGGGUUAUUUGAUUAAAAGGAAGAUUGAAAAAUGCAAAUUUGUAAGAAUGUCCUCCAUCUUUUAAAAACAUGAAAUAUAGUCUCUUUUGGAAAAAACUACCCUUCAAAUUUUUUUUAAUCCCUAUUUCACACAUCAAUCACUUUUUGGAUGAAGAGUUAAAAGGUAAAAAUGUCAAAACAAGGUUAUAUAUGUAUAUAUAUGCAAUUUUCAAUAUAUUGAAGUUGUUUUUCCAAAUACGGGUGUUAUUUCAUCCUUUAUAAUCAAAUAUUUCUAUAUUUUAUGGAUUCCCCAUGAAAAGAUUCUCGAACACUGCAAUAGAAUGUGUAUUUAGCGGAAAAAAUGUGAUCGGAUUGGUGAGAAAAUGGUUUUUGGAGCAAUACUUAGGUUUGAAUGUGUAGAGGAACCUCCUAUCCCCAAUAAAUGGCAGAAGUUGAUUCAAUAGUUUAGGGUAUCUAAAAUAAAGUUUGGGUAACUGUUUCUGCAUAAUGGGGUGCGAAGAGGUUUCUUGAUGGUGGCGCUUCUGUAAGUGCUGCAGUGUGUAUGGCAUUUUUCUUGUGUAUCAAGAGUGCAGCUUGAGUUUGUUGGCAUUAAUAUUGCCAGAGUCCUGUGAGGAUGAUAAUGUAAUUUCCCUUGCAUUUAUAUAUCAUUUCUGGGAUGAUAUCUAACCUGUAUCGUCUAGAAAUAUGGCUCUAAUGUUUUUAUUUAUAGAACCACUCCUAAAAAUGAUUUAGAAGCCUGUUGGUGCUAAAAUGCUUAUUUGUUAUGACUUGGAUGGACUGAAAAUUAUUUUCAAACAAAGUUUUCAAAAGCAUUUCUGAGGCAUGCUUCAAGGUGUGCACUGAGGUGUUAGAAAAAUUGCAAGACUCCCAAAAGGUGUAUGCCUUUGGGGUUGAAGCUCAUCUCAGACAUGCUUUUGGUGUGCCUUUUGCACACUGUUGCAUGAGGUGUAAGCUGAAGAUUCUCCUUGCUGAGGUGGCUUGGAAAAAAUAAAAGGAAAAAAAAACUAUCUUUAACCCCAAAGAUCCCACAGAAGGUGAAAUCAAAGAGACAUUAAAAAAAACCUUAACCCUUGGUCUUGCUGUCACUGCAAUACCUCACUAUUGCCAGUGUUGCUGUCACCACCACCAUCUCUGGCCAUUCUUAACAAUGUCAAUGGCUUCUCACCUUCGUUCUAGUGUUGGUAGCUUCUCUCCCUCUCCCUCUUGUCUAUUGCCAGUGUUGCUGUCACCACCACCAUCUCUGGCCACUCUCAACAAUGUCGACAGCUUCUCACCUUUGUUCUAGUGUCGGUAACUUCUCGCCCUCUCCGUCUUGUUGUGCUCCAUCAUGCCUGCUAAGUCUUCUCUCAUCCCCUCUCUCCCGUAACUUUCUUUCCCCUCUCCUUUAUUUUAACUUUUAUCUCGUCUCCCACCCUCCUUUUUUAUUUUAUUUUUUCUAUUUUUACUUUUUUCCUUUUAUUUUUAUUGUCUAUUUUCCUUCCUAAAUAGAUUCUCACCCUACCGUUUUUCUUAACAUUUAUUUUUCUUUUUUACAGGACAAGGUUUCUUAGCCUAUUUUUUCCUUUUUAUGUGGCAAAAUUUCCAAAGUAAAUAAAAUUUAUUAAUUUAUCUUUCACUAGAUAUUUGUUUUAGUGUUGGAUAUUUGUGUUGAUCUUAAUAAAAUUUAUUACAUAUCAGUAUUUAAUUUUGAAAUUAUUCAUUAACAAAGGGACCUAAAGAAUUUCAAUUCCAUUAUCCCAAUUUAGUUAUUAUUUUUCCAAAUAGAAAAAAAAAAUUAUGUAAUUAAAUAUUUGUUCUUUAAUGUACUAAAAAAAUUUUGUAAUUUAUUUAAUAUCAUUUUAGUAAAAGUUUAUUUAAUUCAUUAUUUUUGUAUAUGUCAAAUUAUUUUUAAAUAUUUAUUAAUUAGCCAAAAGGCUUAUGCUUGCCUCACAAGCACAAAACAUCUUGUCUUAUAUGCCUUUGCCCUUAAAAACUUUCUUUGCAAAAUUAGAACUUCAAAUUUUUGGGAUCCAUUCUGUACUUUGGUUGUGUUUUCACUUGUGUUCUUGAGCCUUGGAGAAAUGCUUUCCAAUUUGAUUGGGUUUGUGUUCUCUAAUAAACAUGGUAGCUUUAAAUGAAAUAGCCCCAUUUCUUCUCUUGAUUCCGCGUACUCUUUCAUUCAUAUGUUUGUUAACCUGAAAUUGCUGUAGCUGGGUAGUUUGCCUUUCAAUUCCUUGAUGUUUUCUUCCCUCUUUUUAUCAAGUAUUUGAUGGAUGCAGGCUUCAAAAUAGAACAUGGUAUCUUUGUAGUGCAAGUGUCAAGCUCAAUGGACAAGUUGUAUGUUUAGAACUGUGCACUAGAUUACAAUUAAUUGCAUAAAGAAAAUUGGAUAACUAUUAGAAAGGUGAUAAGAUGAACUUAAGUUUUGGGGAAUUUGAGAACUACUCAAGACCAAAUUGGUUUGAAUCAAAAACAAAAAGCUCUCAUUUAUUCUUCGACAUUUUAAGCCGAUCCACUUUAAACAUGUUGUCAAGUUCUCAUGAUUUAAACCAUCCUGAGAUACACUCAUCGAGAAGUGCCACUACAACAUACUUGGGCUUGGUAUUUUGGUUUUACAGUUUUUGGAGAAAAUGUGAUUAUACUCAUAGUUGAUAUAGAUAGCAAUGACCUUCAUAAAGGCAGGGUUUUGGUGGAAUAGAAGUGCCGUUUUAGGUAUUCUUGAACUAAUUUUCUUGUCAUAAUUAUUCAUAACAUUCCCUUUCUAUGUGCAGGAAUUGGUUUAUAACUAGAUAAGCAAAAUGGCUGCUCAUAAGAUUGCACAUGCCACCUUGAAAGGUCCAAGUGUUGUGAAGGAGAUCUGUAUCGGGGCCACACUUGGCUUGCUUGCUGGUGGCUUGUGGAAGAUGCAUCACUGGAAUGAGCAGAAAAAGCUCAGGACAUUUUAUGAUAUGCUGGAGAAAGAUCAAAUUAGUGUUGUUGUGGAUGAGUAGCUCCCCCGUAUCCGUUUUGAUUCUGUCAAUGUCUUCUCCUUUAGCAAUUUGGUCAGCUUGGGUUCCUCAAGAUCUAUUCUAAGAUGCAAAUGAGCAUACUUGGUUAAUCACUGGCUAUUGAGAAAUAAGUUUUUUCUGAUUCUGAAACUUGUAAGACCGAGGCCAUUAUAUCCAGUAAACCCUUUUUCUGUUGUGUUUUGCCGUCAUGAUUAAUUGAAAUGCUACAGAAGAUUUCCAUGCUAGUGGUAUAGCUUUUAGCUAAUUCCAGAUUAGGGUUCCCCGGUCUUUCUAUAAAGCGUCAUAUGCUUGAACAAGUUUCAAAACUAAUCCUAAACAAGGCUGCAACCCUAAAUUAGUUUUCAGCUCAUCCUUUUACCGUCCUCCAUACAAUAUCAUCUGUAUGCCUGUGAGCAAUUACAGGAUGAGUUAGCUUAUUUUUUCACAUGAUCAGUUGAAAUGCCAGCAAAAUCAUAGGAUUAGACCGAGUUUGAUGCUAACCCUAAACAUAGCUGCAACCCCAAAUAAGCUUUCUGUGCAUCCCAUCACCAUCCUCCAUCUCAUGUCAUAGAAACUACUAAAGCAGAUGGAUCUAGUCUAUUAGUUCUGAUAAGCAAUUACAGGUGUCUGAAGAAAUAUAUCUUGGGAUGGAUUUUGAUAAAGUUGGAAGUAUGGGCUUUGAAAAUUUUGACUAAGCUUGUCCCAUGUUUGGAAUAGCUAGGCCCAGAAGUUUAGCAGCAACCAAGAGAAUCCAAGGUACUCAAUCCACUACAAGUGCUAAAAUCUGCCCACCAAACAUGCCAUCUUCAACCUCUCCUGCCCUGUAUCUAAAAUUUUGGGUUCUGGGUCAGCUCAGGAAAUGUUGUUAGGGUUUGUAUUAGGGAAAUGAUGCUGGUGUUAGGGUUUUUGAAUUGGGGAAUAUGGGGUUGCUAUUAGGAGGGCUGUGUAUGGCUUGAUCGAUUACUGAUUCAUUUUCUAGCUCUAAAGCCUAAUCGAACUAAUCCAGUCAGUGACAAAAUCUCUAGAGAAAACCAAUUGGUUGGGUUGGGUUCGGUUCAUGAGUACUAACCAAUUAAGCCAGUCAGAUUAUUCGGUUUGGUUAGAAAGCCAACUAUUUUUUGUUAAUUUGGUAUAAAAUCCAAAGUGUCUAAAAUAGGGUAUGCAAACCAAAAAGACAUUCGAUCAAUUUGGUUCAGUUUUGAUUAGAUUCAGAUUUUUCAGUAACACCUCUGGUUAUUAGGGUUUACUGUUUGGUGGAAGAGACAAAUAGGACUUGUAAGAGAAAAGAGGACGCAAGGGUGAUGAUCACACAGGUUGAAAGGGGUGGUGGGCUAUGCACCUUAUCAAAAAUCCAGGUUUGGUGGGACUAUAAACACUUUCCAAAACAUUUGGAUAAGUCCUCGAAGGUGCAAAGGGCCCCCCAUAUGUACAAUUCAACUCAACACCCCCACCCACUUGCCUGUUUCCAUUAUCAUUCACCAAAAACCCUAAACUCUCUUCUAGUGUUUUCAACUUUCCUUUUGGGUCUUGUUUGGUUAUUCAAAAAUAGCAAGAAAAGGAAGAUUUUGUUAUGAAUAAUGAUUUUCCUAUUUUUAGUGUCCAUGAAGAAAAUCCAAUAUGUUUUUAAAUUAUUUAAUUUUUAUGUAACGGAAAAAGUAUAUAAAAUCUAUUUUUAUUUUCUUUAUUUUAAAGAAAUGAAUACAUAAAUGUCUUCUUUUUUUUCUUUUUCUUUUUAUACCAGGCCUAAAAUUAAAUUCCAAAAAUGUAGCUGUUAGAUUUUUUUUUUCUUUUCUGGGGGGGGGGGGGGUUAUUAAGAUAAUAAUAAAUUGAAUUUUUCGAAAUACCUAUUUAGGAUAUGUUUGAUUUUUGAAAAAUUUAAAGGAAAUAAAAAAAAUAAAAAAUUGAAAAAAAAUUCUUUUAUUUAAUUUUGCAUGAAAUAUUUGAGGGAAAGAGAUCAAACUUAUUAAGAAUGCAUCUUUUUCCUUCUUUUUUCUUUACCUUCUUCAUAAUAUGAAAACAUAAAAAAAAAAUAUUUUUCUAGAUAUUUUUUCUUUUUCUAAUACUUUUUAAGGGGUUUCUUAUUAUUAAAACUUGAUUUGGUUUUUGUUUGAUUUUUAAAAUUUUAAUUGAAAAUUCUAGGAGAAGAUAGAGAAAAAAAAUUAAAGAAAAGAAAAAGUAAAAAUAAAAAUAAAAAUAGAUUUAAAAUUAAUAAAUUGUUUUUAUACAUUUUCAAAUCCGUUUAACUAUAUAUAUAUCAAAUAAUUUAAAAAUGUAUAAUUAUUUUUUUAUAUAUAUUCUAUGAUAAAUUAAAUAUGAAAAAAUAUUUUUUUUUAAAUUUUUAGUUUUUAUUUUUUAUUUUCUUACUAUUUUCUUGGAAUCCAAUGUGUGGGAAGCUAAAAAUUCUUUUUUAAAUUAAAAGGAGGUUGACCUUAAAGGAAAUAACAAGGUUGUUUCCCCAUAGACAACUUAUCCAAGAAGUACCAUGAAACUUUAUCAAUAAAAAACUGUUUGUUUGAAAUUAUGACCAAAGCUUUAAUUUCUACUUUUGGCUAAAGUAAAGUGCCAAAGGUUACCCUAAAGAAAAUAUCUAGAAAAAUUUAUCAUAUGAUAAUGGAGAAAAGAAUGAGUUGCUAAUCAUAGAAUGAGAGUAGGAAGAUGCAUAACAGUAUGGCAAUAAUUAAGGUAGGGUUGCAGGAUUUUUAAUGAAAUCCUUUUUGCAAUUCCAUUUUCAUUUAGGAGAAAAUCAAUAAUAUGACACUUUUUUUGGUAGAAGUUCUAUUUUCAUAUUCAGGGAAGCUUUUGUAACACCAAUACUACUCUUUAAAAAUAAUAAUUUUUUGGUUUCUACUUUAGUUUUCAACUAAAACAAAACAAAAAAUUAAGGCCUAUUAGGUAAUUAUUUUAAAAAAUAAUUCUGAAAAACAGUUUUUGAAAAUUGUUCUUUGAUGUUUUGUGAAAAAAAAGUUUGUUUGAGAACCUGAAAUAUUUUUCACAUAUUUUUAAUAUUUUUGAAUAUAUUUUAAAAAUAAAUUUUAUAUUCAAUGUUUUAUUUUUAAUCAUUUUACAUGCUUAUAUAAUUACUUAUUUAAAUAACUCUUAGAAAAAAAAUUGAAAAUAACAAAAAACAAUUCAAAGUUGUUUUCUGAAAACACUAUUUUUCUGUUCUUAACAAUAAAAAAUAGUUUAUAGCUGUCAAACAUUUUUUUUUGUUUUUUCAUUAUAGAUAAUAGAAAACUGUUCUGGAAAAGAAUUGUUAAGCAAACCCUAAGUGUCUGUUUCAAUAUAUUUAGUAUUUUUUUGUUUUUAAAUAUAAAAAAUAGUAGUAACUUAUACAUAAAAUACAAAAAUUGUUAAAAAUUUAUAUUAGUUUAGAGUUAGGGUUAAAAAUGUAAUGUUUUUAAAAAAAUUAAGGAAUUAAAAAAAUAUUUCUACCUCUAAUUUUAUAAUUUUUUAAAAUAAUUUUUAAGGAUAUAAGACAACUCUAUGCUUUUUGUACAAGAUUUUUUACAUUUUUAUUUAAAAGUUUCUAUUUUUAAAAACAUAGAAUAAGAAAUAUAUCCAAAUGAAGGCCCAAAAAUUUUGUUUUGAAUUAUUCACGAAGAUAUUUCAUAUCUAAUGAAAAUUUCAUACCACAAAAUAUUAUCUUUUGAAAGCUAUUACUUUGGAUUAAGCUUAAACUUUUAGCCAAAAUAUCAAAUAGCAAAAAUGUUGUCUUAAACAAACCCUAGGUCCCGUGUGAUAACCCUAUUUGAUAAUUGUUCUUGAAAUCGGUUUUCUGAUUUUGAAAUAUAUUUGAUGAAUAUUUCAUAGAAAACAUUUGUUUUUAGAAUUAUUUCUUAAAAUAGGUUGUUUUUUUACAAUGAUUUUGAGAUGUUUUGAGCUAUUUGUUCAAGAGUUUUUAGAGCAAUAAUUGAAAAAUAUAAAAUAUUUUAGAAACUUUUGAAUUAUAUAUAAAUGUAUAAUUUAUUUAUAGAUAAUAAUAAUCUAAGAACAUUAUUUUUUUUAUUUAAGAUUUCAAACAAAAGUUUGUUUUAAAAAAAUAAUUAAUAUUUAUUUUUCAAAAUUAUUCUCAAAAAAUGUUUUGAAAACAUUGGCUACACAGACCCAACGAGUAAAAGUCGCUUUAUAAAAUUAUUCUCAAAACUAUUUUUUGAUAACAUGGUCAUGCAUAUCUUAAAUUACUCUCUAAAUCCUUCAAUUCCUUAAAGAAAAUUUAACUUAUAGACAAAAUGAUAGGAAAAAUGUCUAGAUACAACUGGCCACAUGGGAAGUGGUUGGUAUUCUUUGUUAGGUACCAAACCUUAUACACAUCCUCCAAUUCCCAUUCAACAACACAAAGCUAAAGAGUUUUCCUUCUUAUAUCCUACCACCACCACUAUUCAAUUUUCCCCACAUUGCAAUGACUAGUCAGUUGUGUUUUUUUUUUUUUUUAAUUAGAAAAAAAAAAAAAAAAAACCCUAAUGGAGUAUUGCCUUUUCUUCCAUGAUUGGUGGUCAAUGUUGGUGUCUUAUUGAGGAAUUGUCUCAAUUCCCCAACCCUCAUUCAUCCACCUUCAUGUCUCCCACACUUUAGAGAAAUGAUUUAUGAUUGCCAACUCUUAUAUGGCCAAAACUAGUUUGUUUGUUUGUGUAAUGAGUUGGAUGCAUGUCUCUUAGGGUUUAUAGAGUAAAAAAACCUAGUGAAUAGAGCCCCAUGAAAGGAAUCACUAUUCCCUACUAGUAAAGUUGCUUUUGUCAUUGAAAAACAUGGAGGAUCUUUGGUUGAAUUGGACUUUAGAGCUAUUUGUGGUAGGGUCAUAGUAAAGUUGUUUACUUUGGCAUUUGUUAUGAAAUAAUAAUACCAUAUUCUCUUAAAAUAACCCUUUAACCAAACAAAACAUAGGUUAUAGGUAUCUUACAAAAUUAUUAUUCAAAGUAGUCAUUUCUUUUCUUUAAAUUAAUUUGAAACCCAUUUUUUAAAAUAUAAAGUUUAUACAAAUUUGAAAUCAUAGUUUGAAAACACAGUUUCUAAAUUUGUAUUAAAGUCAUUGUUCGAAGAUGCAAUUUCAAAUAGGUUUCUGUAAAAUAUAAAAAUAAAAAUUAUGUCACGUGGCACAUAGAGGGUAAUUUUAAGCAUUUGUGUCAAAAGUGACCCAUAAUGUAUAUUUUAAUGAGAAUAAGAAUCACUUUAAACUCAAACUCAUAUUUUAAUGUAUGAAAAUAAUUGAAAAUAAUUUUUUUUGGUGUAUAUGUAUAUUUUUUAAUUAUUGCUUAGGAAAAUGUUAAGGUACCGAAGUGGUACCCUAUCAAAUAAGAAAUUUGGUCAUUAAAAUAUGUAUUAUUAGAUUUAGGUUAUUAAACAAUAGUACAAAUGAAUGAACUCAAAAUAUAAAAAUAUAAACAAAGAGGAUCAAUGUACAAAUAAAGAAAUAAAAAAAUUAUAUACGUGGUACCACCCAAUUGAUGGUUCUUUUCGAUGAGUAUUGAAAAAAUAUCAUUCUAUAUUAUAAUAGAUCUAUAACCUAUUGCUUAUUUUAGAUAGUUUAUAGUUUUUUAACUACUCGUUCUUGGAGUUAAAAGUUCUUUUAAUAAAAGUGAUUGAAACCCCUUUUUAAAAACAAAGUUUUUAACUUUGAUAAGAUGAAAUUCAAAUAGAAAUUCAUUUUUAUUCGAAAAGUAAUAAUAACUAUUGAAAUUUAAUAAAGAUAUAUUUUCAAAUAUCUAAUUACCCACAUUUUAGAAAUUUUCAUCACUUUUAACAUUUUUUUUUAUUUUGAAUUAUUUGUUAAUGAGUAUUUAGCAUGAAAUCUCUUCUACAUUUUUGUUUAUCUAAAACAAGAAAAAAAAAAUUACACCUCAUCUAACUUUGUGUGUGAACUUGAGGAAAUAAAUGAAAUGAAUGAAGAAAAAAAAAAUCAAAUCUAUUAUAAUUAUAGAGAAUAUUUAUUUACCAUUUUUUGACAAUCUAGUAUUCAGGAAGAGAAAAAAAAAGGAAUGUAAAAAAAUUAAAAAUAAAGGAGUAGAGAAAAAACAAAAUGUGUAAUUAAUCAAGCAAGAAAAAAAAACACAAUUACUACAUUGGUAUGUUUCUUGGUGACACCAAAGGGAUCUUUUAUAUACAUUGACUCCAUGAAAAUCACAUUUAAAAAGUAAAUAUAAUAAUAUCCUAAAAGUUGGGAAAGCAUCUUCACAAGGCUCUAGUGCUAGCUAGCAUGCAUUUGUAACAUUAAAAAACACCUUUUUUGUUUUUUUUUUUGGUGGAUUCUUACAUUUCUAAUCAUAUUUUGUUUGAAACCUAAUCAUAGAUGACCACCACACCAAAUCUUUGAGUACAAUGAUUCUUGAUUGAAAAAGAAAAUGAGGGGUUCUAUUCCAAUUGAACAAGUUUCUUACAUGAAAUUUAUUUUAAAAAUUUUAAAAAUUUACAUCAUAUGCCACUGAAUAUGUUCAUCUAUGAACCAUUUUAAUAAGUCUAAUAAAUAAAGUUGAUAAGAAAUUUUUAUAAUAUUUAUAUGCUAUCAUAUUCUCAUGGGUAAAAGUCUAAAUGUCACAUGGGUCCUUGGAAAAAUGAUAUAAAUAUUUAAUAUUUUCCUAAAUGGAUGAAUGCCCAAAAUAAAAUAUUUUGAAUUCCUCGUGUUGUCAAGUAAAAUCAACAAAAAUUGAAAAACCGAUCCAAGUCAAUCGAAACUAACCAUAUCGAUCCAAUUUUCGAUAAUCAUAAAGAUCGACUUGAUUUGAGAAUUUUGAAAACUGAUUUCAUGGUUUGGUUUAUGGUUUUUGGUUUUCAGUUUACGGUUUUCUUAUCGCCUAGCUAAUAGAAACUAAAUUAACAUUUGUUCAAUAUUUGAUGAGUUUUUCUAUAUUAAAAUUUAUUAAAAUAAUUCAUUAUUUUUUAAAUAUAUUCAUUAUAUUUUGGGUUAAAACCUUAAAUACAUUUUAACAUUCAAAUUCAAGUUGUUUUAGUUUUAUGAAUAAAUUUGUAUCCAACAAACUAUUUAAAUCAAACUAAAUCAAUCUUAAUUAAACUUCGUUUAUUUUGAUUUUUCCAUCACUAAAAGGUUAGUCGACUUUAAUUUCUACCCCGAAUACAAACCAAACCACACCUUUUUAUACCCCUAACUAUACUUUAUUGAACUCAAUAAAUAAAACUACCAUUUAUUUAAAAAAAUUUAUAGUAUCCAAAUGCUACCAUAUUAUCAUGUCACAAAAGUUUAAAUGUGGUAUGAGUGCUUGAAAUAUAUUCUAACUUUCCUUAAACCAUAUAAUAUUUAACAUCAAUCCUAAUAGUAAGCUAGAAAAAGUUAAUUCUUAUUCUUAUGACAUGAAAAUUAAGGAGAUUAUAGAAGACAACAUCGUAGAAUCAUCCUCUUUAAUUUGAUAUCAAUCUCUUCACAAAAGGAACGAUCGUUUUAUGAAAUAAAGCUCAUACUCAAUAUGCCUAUUGUUCCUCCUUUGAGUAACAUGGAUUAUGAAAUAUAAUUCCAAUGUUUAAUCAUGAAAAAGCAAAUCAUUAUUAAAAAAAAAAGAUGACCAUUUAAUUUUGCUUAGUCAAAGAUUUGCCCCAAUGACCUUUUUCACUUUACAGAUAAUAUUAAGUAUAUUUUAGAUGUUAAUCAUGUGGACCUUAUCAAUCUAAUAUUUUUUUCUUUGUGGAACAUUACUUUAUCAAUUGUUUUGUCAUUUUUUUGGUGGGCAAUCCAACAAAGAUCUCCAAAGAUGAUUACAUGUAUAGUCCUUUAUGAUGGAUGUCAUGUACUUAAUUUAUUUUAAUUUUUUUUUAGAUCUUCAAUUUUUGAUUUGGUAUAAUCAAAUUUACAUUUAAUUAAGAUCACCCUUUCAUUAAAAAUUACAUUUUUUGAUAUAAUAUCAAGUAUCCUCAUCCAAUAUAAUUUUAACACAUAUAAAAUAAUGUAAUUUAUGGUAUAAAAAUGUAAAUAAUGUUGGUAUAUAAUAAUGUGGUUCUUAAAUCUAGAAAUAGGCCAUCCAAAUGAUAAUGAUGUCAUAUGGUAUAUAAUAAUGUGAUUCUUAAAUCUAAAAACAAGUCAUCCAAUGGGUAGUGAUGUUGGAUGCUAUAAAACAUUUGAUCUAUCUUUACUGAAUGUUAAUUUAUUUUCAAACAAAAUGAUCAAAACCAUCAAAGAAUUUAUACAUUCAUAUUGGAAAAAACAAAGUGAUUUAUGGUAUCAAAAUGUAAAUAAUAUUGGUAUGCAACAAUGUUGUUAUUAAUCCAAAAACAAGUCAUCCAAAUAAUAGUAAUACUGAAUGUUAUAAAAUGUUUGAUCUAUCUUAAUAGAAUUUCAAAAUAUUUUCAAAUGAAAUGAUCAAAACUCAAUUCAAGAAUUUGUAUUCAUAUUGAACAAAAAUUCUUAAACACUAAAUAGGUUACCCAAAUGAUAAUGACUAAUCCCAACCCAACAUUUUUCUCGUUAUUGAAAAAGUUACCUUAAACUUUCAAAAUCUUUAGAAUUAUAUGAUUAAUUCUUAUCUUCAAAAUGAAAAAUGCAAUGUCCCUCGAACAGUGGAAAAAUGGAUUCGUAGGAUUCCUUCAAUUAAUAAAAUAUUCAAAUUAAAUUUUGAUAAUUCAAGAAUAGAGAAUAAAAUUGGAUAAGGAUGAGUUAUUAAAAACUCUAAUAGAACUAUUAAACUGGCUGCAAGUAGGCAUAUAGACAAUGUUUUAGUAAUUAUUGUAAAAUGUAUAAUUUUAAGAGAUGACACACUUAACUGCUAAGAACAAUGAGUUCAUAAACCUAGAAAUUGAUGGUUAUUCAAAAAUAGUGAUAGACUAUUAUAAUAUAAAAAAUAAUAUUUUUAGUUUUAUUAUGUUAUUAAUAAAGGGUAUUUGAAAGUUAUUUCAAAAUCUAAAUAUUUACAAUUGUCAUCAUAUUUAUAGAAAUAAAUCAAACAGUAGAUUGUUUAGCUAAAAAAAUGUAUUUGCAAUAUUGAAUCGAUUAUUUAGUAGUCAAAUUUUCAUAAAAAUGUUACCAAGUUUGGUUUCCAAUAUUAUUAUAACUCGUAUUUUAAUCGAAUUUGUAAGUAUUCUGUUUCGUAUUCUUUUUUCAUAUAAAAAGUAAAAAUAAAAGAUAAUGACGGAUCAUCAAGAAUCAAUCCGAUAGAGUAAAGGGGAAUUUUUUUUUCUAUAAUUUUAAAUUAGAAUAGCACUAAAAAUUAUUUGUUUGCUCCCCUUUGGAUGAUUGAUGUGAAGGAACCUUAAAUCCAAUGCUUAUGUAAGAUAUGAGCAAAGCCAUAAGUCAAAACUCAAUGUUUAAUUAUUGAAUCUGACUUUUUCUAGAUAUAGCUAGCAAAAGGAAAAAAUUAAUUAAUUCUCACCAACUUAUAGAAAAAAUAAAAAGAACAUUAUCUUUAUUAUGGGGGAGAGAUGGGGACUAAGCCCCACCAUGAUGACCUUUGACAGGAGAGGAAAAUUAUUGAAUUGGGAUGGGCAGCUAUUUGCUCAUACUAUGAGAAAAAAAAUAAUUUUUUUUUAAAAUGUUAAUUUUACAAUUAUCCUUUGUUGGUGAGCUUCUUGUUACCUAAAGAGGGAAAUGGUUUAAAAUUUUAAACAUAAAAGUUUAAUACAAAAUAUAUUUAAUGAGAUUGAAGAUACAUAUUUGGCAUGGGUUAACCAUCUAACUUGUGUAAGCCUAGGUUUUGGACAUUAGCAAAUAAAUAUAUUAUUUUAUUUUCGAGAAUCGAUUCUGAUAUCAUUUGUAACAAUCUACUUCCAAUCGUGUAGAUAUUGUCUACUCUAAGCCUAAAAAGACUUUCACAACUUUAAAACACAUCUAUAUAAUUAAGAAUAACCCAUAAUUAUAUUGCAUUAGAAAAAUAAAUCAAACAAAGUUUGAUUAAAAUUGAUUUACUUUAAUUUAGAUUAUCGGUUUGAUGCAAAUUAAUUUAAAUCUUAAAUAUAAUUUAUUUUUAAAAUUAAUUGAAAUUAACUUAAACUUGAAAUUCAAAAUAUAUUUAAUAUUUUUACCCAAAUAUGAUAGAUGUAUUUAACAUGAAUUUCAUCAUAGUCUAAAAAUAAUAUAUUUUCUCAAUAGAGUCUAAUAAUAAAAAGAAAAACCUUAAACAUUAAACUAUUAUAAAUAAGUAUUUUAGUUUGGUUUUUAUCGAUUAAGAAACAAACAAAUAAAAAAUUGAACCAACAAAAUUCUCAAACCAAACAUUAAACUCGUAAUGAUAGCUAUGGUUUGCUUUCUUAAAAUUUUCAAAAUCCGAGGAUUGAAGUUCAUGUAAUGGGUACAAUUUUGGGAGAUUUUGUCAACAAACUUAAUCAUAUCUCAAUUGAAUAAUUAUAUUACUUUAAACUAUAAUAAAGAUAUUCUUUAUACUAAUCAUGAUUACUUUUUGAAUACUUUAAAAGUUAUAUGGUAAGCUAACAAGCUCCAAGUGAAAUGUAUUGGAAUCUAUGAACGCACAAUGACUAGUCAAACAUGAUAAAAUAUAAUUACCAUCCGUUUGCUCAUAAGAUAUAAUUUUUUUUAAAAUAAAAAACUUCUAUAUUUAAAAGUAGAACAUUCAAAAAGUGUAAAUUUACUUUAUGGUACAAAAAUAAAAAAAAUUAAAAUAUAGGGUUGUAAGAAAAUUUUUAUAUCUCAAAUUUUUAAAAAUUAUUGUAUAUUAUAUGAAAGUCAAUACCGUUUUUUAUUUUAAAGAUAGAAAACAUAAAUUAUAUUCAACUGAACUCAGAACAAACUUUUUUUGGAGUCCUCGUGGCUUUAAAAUCCAUCUACUUAGUUAAGAGGAGUACAUAUCAAAUAUGAAAUAUCACAAAUACCUUAAUGUAGAUUCAAUGUUUUCUUAGGUAGAUACAAUGUUUUUGUCGUGUCCCACGUGAUCACAAAGUCAAAUGACAAACACCUUUCAUGGGGCAAAACAAACUUCCAUAUCGGAGUUAAGGAUCAACUCUCAUACCAUUUUAUAAUGAUCUGCUUUGGGCCUAAUGAAUCUUUACGAUUUUAAAACUUGUUUACUUUGUUAAGAGGAACUCAUACUUAUAUAAUGUCAGAAACUUUAUCCCAUAUUUGAUAUGAGACAUCACAUUGUCUUUAUUAUGGUUUAAAAAAAUUUCAGUUCAUCUCAUAUUAAUGGUUAUAGUACUCGUUGGUUUUAAGAGUCGGUUUAGUAGUGAUUCUAUAAAAUGCUUAUAACCUUUAUAAUACGUGAAAAAAUUUAUAUUUCAAUUAUUAAAAAGUUAAAAAUAUUUUUUAAAAUCACUGUCAAAUACACUCUAAAUUCGUAUUGAUAUAUUGAAUUCCUAUUUUUCUUAUUUCACACAUAAAAUAUUUUUUUGUCAAAUACAGAAAAGAAAAUUAUUUGUUUUCUUUUUACCAUUUUUCUUUUUGAUAAACCACAAAUUCAACAUUUAUAAACAAGUUUUUGCUCCCUCGUGAUUUCAUAAUUAAAAUUUGUUUCGUUUUUAUGGUGGUUUUUACAAUUUGGAUUAUUUGUGAUAUUAUAAUGAAAAAUUUGACAAUACUUUUACCAUAUUUUAUAGAAUAGAUGUCUAUUUCUAAAUUUACAAUGUUUCAAUCUAUUUCUUUGUAUUUUUUAUUUUUUAAAAAAUGAAAUUUCUCUAUAUUUUGAUUUAUUUUCAAUUAUUUUUUCUAUUUGAAUAAUUAUUUUUAAAAAAUAGUGGAAAAAAAAUCCAAAUGCUAACUUAAAACAAUUAAAAUAUAUUAUCAAGGAACGAUAUUUUUAAAAGAAGCAUAUUCUUACUAUUGAAAGAACUUAGACAACGAUAAUCACACAAAAUAUCAUUCCACGUUUGAUGUGAUAACAAAAGAUGUUAUUCAAAAGUGAAAAGACUAACUCCAACAUUAUUAUUAUUAUUAUUAUUAUUUUUUGAAAAAUGUCAAUGUCAAAUGAGUAAAUUGUUGAACUUCAAUAUAUAUAAAAAUUUUAUUUGAAAAUUCUAGUAUGAAAAACAUUUUUCUUAUUUUAAAGUUAUUAUACACUUAUGUGGUUUUUUUUAAAUAAUUUUUAUCUCUUAAUUAAAAUUUACAAUAUUUUAUAAAAAAUAACUAAAACAAUUCAUUUUUUUUUUAAAAAAACAUUAUAAAUUUAUUCUAAAAGACAAUUUAUUUUCAGAAUAAAUUAUAAAAAACGAUUUUUAUCCCAAAUUUACUCAAAAUGUUUUUUUAGGAUAGAAAAAUUAUAAGAUUAUGUUCGGUCCUAUGAAAAUUAGAGAGAAGAUGUGAAGAAAAGAAAAUAGAGAGAAAAAAAAUAUAAAAAAGAAAAAGUGAAGAAAAUUAAAAAAUAUAUUUAAAGUUAAUAAAUUAUUUUUAUAUAUUAGUUUAAAUUUAUUUUAUAUAAAGAUUAAAUAUUUUAAAAUUUAUAAAUUUAUUACUAAUUAAAAUUUUCUUUCAUAUUUUUAUGAUAAAAUCAAACAUAAAAAAAUUAUUUUUUUAGUCUUACAAUUCCAAACUUUUUCAAGAAUCACCUUAAUUUUCAUGAGAUGCAACUCUCUAAUUUAGAGUUCAUUUAUUUACAAAAUUUAGGAAGUACUUUAGAAAAAUAUGAAAAACCAUUUAUAUAAUAAAAAUCACUUGUAUGUUUUUUUUUUUUAGAGAAGCACUAUGAGUUUGUUUGACAUAAAAUUAUUUUUAGAAUAAUAGAAAAUAGUACAAACGAUAUUUUAACACUACAAACGCCUUUUUAGAUUUAAAAAAUUUUUCAAAUAUUUUUAAAACACUUUUUAAACUAAAAAUAUUUAAUAAAAUCAUUAUCAAACGUGCUCUUAAAAGGUAAUUCAUUAAAACGUGCUCUUAAAAGGUAAUUCAUUAAAAAUACUUUGUGAGAAAAUACCUUCAUUACAAAUAUUUUGUAUGAAAACAUUCCUAAUCCAAUUAUUAAUAUUAUGAAAUAAUUUAAAAUUACAAAAAAAAUAUAUUUUAAUAAAUAAAUAAAAGUAAAUCAUUAAAAAAGAUUUGUCUCCGGGUUUUAUUGAAAAAGAAAUUGAAAAGCAUUGUGGAGCAGUCCCACCUACUUUUUAAAGUUCCAAAUCUCUCUUAGAAUAAAAAGUGAUUCUAACAUGGUGUACAGUACUUUAAACCAGAAAUGAAUUAAUCAGAAAUCAAUCCAACCUCCCAUGAACAGUGCCACGUCGACUCGGAGUCUCCCAUUCUGACUGCUACUUCUCCAUUCAUUUUCACUCGAAGUAAAGUAUUCUCACCACCGUGUCAUCCAAUCACCAUCGAGAACGUGGCCCAAAGGAAUGUCAUUUCUUCAAUAAAUAUUAUAUCAACCACAGACUCUGUGUCAGACUAUAAAUACGGGGAGGAGGGAGAGCUUCAAGUCCAGCGGGCGCACAGGACGUCCGGCUGUUUUUCACUCUCCAUCUAUCUAUCUAUCUAUCUAUCUAUCUCUCUCUCUCUGUUCUCUAUUCCCUAUGGACUGCUGGACUGCAGUCUGAAGAAGGUGUGGUCUCUUUCACCUGCGUCCAGGUGUUUUCGGACCGCUCUCUAGUCACUUUCUUGCUUGAAACUUCGAUUCUCUUGUUUUUUCCCAUUAUCUUUGAUAUGGAUGAUUUGUAUAGACUCCAGCAUGAAGGCAUCUCCAUCUCUGGUGCCAACGCCGCUGCUGCGACCAUCGAUUUCCGCAGAUCAGUGGAGAACAGUAACGUGUACCGGUUCGAAUCGGUGGAAACGGAGGCCGGUAUGUCGGAUCUGAUCAAGUCUCAGAUCGUCAACCAUCCUCGGUACCCUAACUUAGUCUCCGCCUACAUUGAGUGUCGAAAGGUUGCCUCCAUGCUUCUCUCUCCAGUCGCUUUCAAGGCGCUUUUUUUUUUUUUUUUCAUCUCCUCAGUUUCAUCGCUGCUUUUUGAUUUUUUUUUUUCUUUUUUUGCCUGUUCUUCCUUUUGCAGGUCGGAGCGCCGCCAGAAAUGGCGUCGCUGCUGGAAGAAAUCGGCCGAGAGAGUCAACCGAUGAACAGUCGCAGCGGAGAAAUUGGUGCCGAUCCAGAACUCGACGAGUUCAUGGUAUUUACCUUGAGAAUUAAAUCCCAAAAAUUCUCAAAAGCAGAAAAAUUCGACAGAAACGAACUACGAAGAGGAUUAUAGUAAUGAUUUGUUGUUUUUUCUUCUUCUUUGAUUUGGAUUUUUGAUUUUUUUAAUUCUCUUUUGGUGUUUUCGAAAGGAAUCGUACUGUGAGGUUCUUCAUAGAUACAAGGAGGAGCUCUCGAAACCCUUCGAUGAAGCGACGUCGUUUUUGAGCGACAUCGAGUCGCAGCUCAGUAACCUCUGCAAAGGAGCGUUGACGGCGGGGACCUCGGGAAGCUACUACUCUGGUAUGCGCAUUUUAUCAUGCCUUUGCUUAACCUGCGCUUUCUGGUAGGCGAUUGGGUGGAGUUUAACAACCUUAACCUUUCUGUUACUGUGCGCACGUUAGAGAAACAGUGUUUUUGGUGAAACGCUGGUCGCCUAUAAAAUAAGCUGGGUCACGUCCUACACGAAUAGGGGGGGAGGGCGGGGAGAUCUUUUAUAUUGAUUAAUUUAAUUUUUUUUGUUUUAUAUGCGAUGAUGAACUAAAGAUGGUAAACGUGGUUUCUUCCGUACAAUCUAUGUUUUGAAUUUUGUGCCAUCAAUGAAUCACUGCACUGCAAGAACUGUAGCAUAGUAUGAAACCCUAGUCAGAAAUACUUGAAGAUACAUGGAUAUGUAUACAAUGUAUUGUUAGGGCUUAGGAGUCUGAUUUUUCAGGUGUUUCAUGGUGGGUAUAUGGGUGUGCUUCAAAAUCAUUAUGCUUGUGUACUUAUGAUUCCCAUGUUAAUCAUGACUUCCAUCUGUUUGUUUUUCCUUUGCUUCUGAUAAUUAUGAAAAUCUCAACGGAUUAUUUUUGGUUCUGCUGUGGCACAUGUUUCGGUAUCGGCUGUGUAAGGCUGAAGAGGUUAUCUAAUCUACUAACUUCAACGGUUAUAUUCUACUAUUAUGGCCGGAGCAACAUGGGUUUGUUCAUCUAGAAAUUUCCUUUUUGAUUAAUUUCAUGAAUUUCCAUUGUGUGCUGUCAUGCAUUCUCUUUUUUUUUUUUUUGAGUAAAAUGUUUAACGGGUUAGCUUUUUUUAAACCGAGUUACUAAAAUUGCAUUCCACUGUGAAUUUAUUACUUUAGUUCAUUUCUAACCUUGAUUUAUCUAGAUAUGUUCCUCAUAUUAACUUUACUCGUGAAAAAAUUUAUUUGUUUAAAAUGGUGUGUACCAAAUUAAGGUGGUCAUGUGGUGCCAUGAAUGUUCAGCCAGUCACAUGACCUCUGCAAGUUCUACACAUCUUUCUUUGGUAACGGACAGCCAUGCAGGUUUUCUUGGCUUGUGGUUGCAAGUUCCAAUGUCUCCCGGUGUCAAGUUACUUUGGUCAGGAGGAGUUGUUUUCAGUAAACUAUCAUUUAAAAUAAUUUGAUUUAAAACUUUGGAGGUUUUCUUUUUCUAUUUAUACUUUACUACUGUCCUUUCCAUUUCCUUUACUGCUUUAACAAAUAAAUACAGCAGCUUUAUAUUAAUUAGGUGUUAUAAAUGCAUCGAUUUCUUCAGAUGCUCAAUUUUCCCUUGUCUUGUGUUGAAAUCUUCUUUGUUCAUUUCCUUAUCGACGUGUUGAAAGAGUAUGUGUUUCGUGGAAAAAAAAAAAUCAGUACGAAAUGCUAUACAGUGCUGAGGGAGACAGUCUCAUUCUGUCAUUAAUUAAUAAGGAUAUAUUUUUUGUUAGCCAUUUGAGUUUUAUCCAACACAGUUUUACCUUUUCUUUAUGCAUUUUUACCUGUGGGGGCAAUAAGUUCUUUCAGUUUACUCUUGAUAUUGCCUGGACAAACCUACAAUGCCUGUGACUGUUAUUUCUUCUCUUAUGUGGGUUCUGGCAUAGUGUAUCACUGUAAAUAAACAGUACCCUAAGUUUUGUUUGCUUGCAAUACUUAGUUACAAGCUAAGGUUAACCCUCCAGUUCCAGGUUCAAGCUAAGGUUAAUCCUCCUUUGGUUCUGGAAAGUCCUAGGCCUAAAUUUUGGUGUCUGGGUUACCAUACUGAAUCACAAGCUGUGGUUGACCAUCCAGUUCUCAAAAUCCUAGUCAUACCUCAGUGGAGGCAAGGCUUUGUUUCCAUCAUUCCAUGACUCUAGAUUUUGACAGACCCUUUUUUGUUAAAACGAUUUAUGCAUGCAGACUUUUGAUACCAAUGAGAGAAGCAUGAAGAUGGAUAAUAAACGCAAGAUCUGAGAAUCCAAUCUUGGGUUAACUACUCUUCAUGUUUCUCUCAUAUUUUUAUGCCAAGCAUGUUUUUCACAUAAAGCUGAGUUUUGCUUAUAUGAUCUGGACAUAGCUCUAUGUAAAAUAGAUUCUUCUUGUGUUCUGUAAGUAAAAUGGUAUGCACCAGAAUCUCAUAGGAUCUGUAUGGUAUUAAUCAGCACAUAACACGAGAAACUUAUCUAACUGGUAUAAAACAAAAUAGGUCAUUGAUAUUUGUGCAGCAUUAUGAUAAAUUCUGAUACUGCUGCCAAGUGAUCAACACUCUCUGGAGAAACUCACAUUUCAUUUGGACUGUUAUAUCCACCGUGGUUUUUGGUUGUUUCACCCCUCAAACAACAAACAGAAAUUUAGGGUAUCCUAUUAAUUAACCAUGUCUGCUUAAAAAUCACUAACUUGGCAAAUGUUGAUGGUUUCCCAUUAUAGAGCUUGAAACUGGUUGGUAAUAUUAUGUCAUAAGAAAUCUUUUGUCCAUCAUCUACCAAUAGUUUUUUUCUGGUAUGCUGAAGGUGACUGAGCAAUAGCCUUCACUACUCUUCAGUGUCCCUGUACAAACAAUUAUUAGCAGCUGAUCCUUCUGCUACUAGCAUCUCUUGCAAAUAAAUUGAGUAAGGUUUACAUGAUGUAUUACAAACAAGAAGCUAAAAGCUGAAACCAAGGCAAUUCAGGUGCUGCAUUUGUUUUAUUUUUGAGGUUGUUCUGCUGCAUUUGUUUACACUUGAAUGGCUUGUGUUUGACAUCUCAUGUGUGUUUGAAUGCUCAAACAAAUAAAUUAAAAUAUGGAAUAAUUGACACUGCAACUUGGUUGGGUUGGGUCCAGAUGGAGAUUAACCUGAGUCAUAAUGUUGCUUGGAUUAGCUAAGUGAUUAAUUCUUUUACAGCUUAUAUGUUUUGCUCAAUCAAUACUUGAAUUCUAUUGGCAGUUAAUUAAACAUACCCUAAUGGUGAUUUGCAAAAUAAUACAUUAAUGGAUACGCUGUAGAAAUACACUUCAAGAAUAACAUGAAAGCUUGUAAGAUGAAUAUGUACAGAAAAUAACUAUGAUUUUAGUAUAAAAAGUUGAAAUAAGUAAACAGUUAGGAUUUUUUUUUUAAAAUCAUUAAAAGAGAGUCAAUUUCUCAGGAUUUGUUUUAUUAAUUCCUUUAUAUUUAUUCACCAUUAUAGUCCCAUUAUGUAUAAAAAUAUAGCAAAAGUCGUGUCAUAGCAAGAGUUGAAUGUUAUAGGAAUUCCAUGUCAACUUUAGAUUUUUUGCAUUUCUUUUGACCAAAAAAUGUUCUCUCCUCUAUAUGAAUAUAGUCAUAUGAUAUUAAACUUGACCAGAGUUGAAUGUUAUAGGAAUUCCAUGCCAACUUUAGAUUUUUUGCAUUAUUUGAUGGAAAAAUGUUAUCUCUCCUCUAUAUGAAUUAGUCAUAUGAUAUUGAACAUAUAUAAAAUCAUAACAUAUGUAUGUUAGUAUGUAUAUGGAUGGGUUCCAGCUGGAUCAGGUUGCCUAUUGCCUUUAUGCAAGCCUAACCCAAGGUCAAGUUGGAAUUCCCCUAUCCAAAAUUUUGCAGUUGUUGUCAGGGUUCAAUGCAUCAGUUGCAGCCAUGGAAAUUAUGAUUCUAUGUCUUAAGGCAAAUAUUUUUCUUAUGAAGAAAAGCUUUCCCAUCAAUUUGGAUGUAACAUGUGUAAUGUAACAUGCUCAUACAUUUCUCACUUGCAGAUCAUGUUGACUAGAUGCAAUUUGGCUUAAAAAAUAAAUGUGUGUUUCUGUUGUUUCAAAUUUAUUUUUACCUUUUACAUGGUUCCCCCCUCUGAAUUGAUUUUAAAAUUGUUUUAAAGAAAGCAAGAGGUUUUCUUGUGUUGUGAAGUGUGACAAUGGAAAAAAAAAAGUCUAAUACCAAGAUAAAUAAAGCCCGUCUGAAUUGUUUGGGUCUGGCUACAUGAUGAUGAGAAGAUUUGUUGGUUGCAUAAAUGUAUUUUGUGUGGCAUAAGACUUCAACAAUGGUGAUGGUUAUUUUUUUAGUCAAUAUUAAUCCUUGUUUUCUAGCUGUGAGAUCAUUGGAUUUUUUAUUUCAGUCGGUUCCAGCUAUUAAAUAAAAGUAACUUGUGUCUUUUUUUGACCUAUGAAAUGAACUAUCCUUUAUAUAUUCUGAAUUAUUCAUAUAUCAUGGAUGCAAAAUUCAGAGGUUCAUGCAAUGCAAUGGACUUUUUUCAAGUCCCAUAUAUUCUUGUCUUUUCAGAUGAAGCAGCUGGGACUUCAGAGGAGGAGUUAAGCUGUGGAGAGGCAGAAGUAUCUGAAAGUCAAGAAUCUUUGGGUGCUCGCCCAGGUGACCAGGAGCUUAAGGAAAUGCUCAUGCGCAAGUAUAGUGGCUACCUAAGCAGUUUGAGAAAAGAAUUCUUGAAGAAACGGAAGAAAGGUAAGUUACCAAAGGAUGCAAGGACAAUGUUGCUGGAAUGGUGGAAUACCCAUUAUAGAUGGCCAUAUCCCACGGUAAUUAAUUUAUGAUACGAUCUUUCUUUUUCUUUAUUUGUCUUUUUUUUUUAUUAAGGAUUUCUUGGGGCACGUGUUAUGAUACAUAAAGUUAAAAGGUUCUUGGAUCUGUGUCAUGUGCAACUUGGAAACAAUAAGGAUGAAACAAACAUGAAAAAGAGACGUACAAAAUGAACAAAACCUUGUUUGCAUGAGUCAGCUGGAGUAGGGCCACACCCACAAGUAAAGGUGUUCCAAGCCUUAACAUAGUGGGGCAUAUAAACGCAGGGGCCCUACCCAUGAUGCAAAACAUACAAGUUCAAAGACACCAAAACACCACUCCACGGCCUUAAGUAAAGUUGUUCCUGGAACCUUGACAUAGUGGGGACUGAAGAUGCAAAAUCCCUGAGAGCCAAAGGCAAAAUACCCGACUUCCAAUACCCCAAACACCACCUUUCUGAUACUAAAUAAACUCCUGCAGUUGAUUUGGGACACAAAAUCCCUGAGAGCCAAAUGCAAAAUACCCAACUUCCAAGACCCCAAACACCACCUUUCUGAUACUAAAUAAACUCCUGCUGUUGAUUUGGGGUCUUAUGCUAAAGAAGUCCCAAAACCUUUACUUAAAAACAAUGUUGUCUAAAAUACUGAAGUUUUAAUUCUUGUAUGUGAAUGAUCUUUAACAAAAAGUAGAAAACAAUGGACCUUCAGUAUCUCUGCAGCUAAACAUGAUGAUGUAGCAGUUUAUUGAAAGCUUAAACCCAGUUUUAUACACAAGACAUUUGUCAUUAGUUUUAAGUAGCUGCCUAGUAAAGCUCAAUUGUGAUGCUAUUAAACUAUGUUUCAGUGUAACAUCUUGGAUAGGUUUAUUCUCUUUCAACCUCCAAUUCCCCAUUAAUAUAAGCCCAUAUAGGAAUCAAUUCCAAAGAUAAUUUCAUAAGGAUGUUAAACUGGCAGUCCAACUAGAAGGUUAUACAGAAGUGUAGAAAACUGUUUUAUGCAUAUCUCCAAAACACGAGUAAGAUUUUAACCUUGAACUCAAACUAAAAACUCAUUAGGAUUUUGAGCAUAGGACCGUGUUUGAUCUAUAAACCUCAGGAGUAUAUAAUAAACUGAUGCACCUAUUGAGAUUCCAAAUCUUGACAAAAGUUCAUAUUGGAGUUGUAUUUAGAACUGCUAUCGCUGGGACACUUGUUUACUUUCAUUUCUGGACACGUAUCUGAAAAGGAUUGAUGAUGAUACAGGAAGAUGAGAAAUUGAAGCUAUCAGAGGUUACUGGACUAGACCAGAAGCAGAUUAACAACUGGUUCAUAAACCAGAGGAAGCGGCAUUGGAAACCAUCAGAAGACAUGAGAUUUGCUCUUAUUGAUGGUGUCAGCGGCAACAUGGGAGGAGGGCCCGUGUUCUUAGACACCAGGGGUGGAACUGGAAGCAAUAUUUGAUAUAUAUAACUUGGUUUGAACUCAACCUUCACAUUCUGUUCGGAGUGCCCCAUAUUCUCCUUUCUUUUUUCCUGUCAUUUAGAUGUCUCUUUGUUUGUGAAACUUACUCAUACGUAAAGGGUACCCCUUUCCUCAUUUGCUUCUGUUAUAUAGCAUCUCAAUCUCAAAUUCUUGGCCAGAAAAAAUCCGAUCACCCCGCCUCGUAUGCUGGUGCAUGUGCUUGAUUUUUAUCACC
rnacentral:lncRNA from 1 species